GUAGAAUGGGUCAACCGGUCUUUCUCUUAACAUAACAUAUCAUAACAUUCCAAUGUGCCGGGACGUAGAAUGGGUCAACCGGUCUUUCUCUUACAUAGUGCCGGGACGUAGAAUGGGUCAACCGGACUUCCAUACCAUAACAUACCGUAUCAUAUCACAUCGCAUCAUAUCGAGGACUAAGGAUCAUCCAACAGCCAUCCACAUCAACAUAGAAUUAUGCAAUGCAACAUAUUCGUGAAUUCUAAUGCAAAACAACCUAGGAUAUCACAUGGCAUUCAUGAUGCAUGAACAUGCUCAAAACUUUAUAAUUUAUUCGCCUUAAAAUGUAAAGGUUUAUUCUACUCACCUCAGCUAGCUCUGAUAAUGACUGAAGCAGCUGACUCACUGCUGGGGUCCUCGGUUCCUCGGGUCCGAACCUACACAGGUGGACUAAAAGGAGGGACAAAACAUACUAGAACAUAACUCUAAAAACAUCCCCCAAAAACCCCCUAAAACACCUCAAAACAAUCAUGCAAAACAUGCAAAGGAAGGCUGAACAGGGCACUUUCGGCGGCAGGUUCGGCGGCCGAAAGUCCCUCUAGAGCCGAAAGUCAGGCAGGUUCGGCGGCACCUUCGGCGGCCGAAAGUGCCCUCCAGAGACGAAAGUCCCUUUUUCGGGGGCAUGCUUCGGCAGCCGAAAGGCUUGCCUCCCAGGCAGGUUCGGCGGCCGAAAGUCCUUCGGCUGCCGAACCUGGUUUCUGCCAAAAGGGCAUAAACUCGGCUCACACAUGCUCCCAUGCCUCCCAAACCUUCAAUCAUGCAUACCACUCAACCAAAACAAGCAUAAACACAUACAUAAGCUCCUAGGGGCUUCAAACUAUCUUAAACCCCAACUACAACACAUCAAAAGCAACUCAGCAACCUACAUUAUACAUAAACACAACCCAAAACCUAACAAAGCUCAACCAACCUAAGCAUGCAUUCCUACCCCAAGAAUCAACUUAAACUUGUUUAAAAACAUAAAACGAGCUUAAGAUCGGCUUUUACCUUUUGAAGAUCGAGAGAGAGACGACCUAAACUUGGAGAACGGUGGGAGAGAGCUCCUGUGUCUUCCAAGCUUCAAAACUUGCUCUAAGCUCAAAAAUCUUCAAGAUAAAGUAAAAUCUCAUGAAAAUCAUGAAAGAUCUGAAGGAAGAAGCUAAAAAUUGAAGAGGGGCAGCGGAGAGCUCACCUUGGCCGAAAACGGGGAGAAAAGCUCGCUCGUUCGGACAUGGGGACCCCUUUAUAGGUGGCUGGCCAGGCCACUUUCGGGGGCCUAACAUGCCUCCGCAUGCAUGCCAUGUUCGGCGGCCGAACCUGGACUUCCCUCACUUAUGCUUUCGGGGGCCUAAGGCACACCCGAAGUGCAUGCACGUUCGGCGGCCGAACCUGGGUCUUCCUCCAAGAUUAUUUUUCAUACAAAAACUCAUUUCUUACUUGAUUAAAACCAUAAAAUACAUUAAAACAUUUUAUGAAAACAUGGUUUCACCCUUCUAGAGGUUUCCGACAUCCGAGAUUCCACCGGACGGUAGGAAUUCCGAUACCGGAGUCUAGCAGGGUAUUACAUUCUCCCCCCCUUAAGAACAUUCGUCCCCGAAUGUUCCUCAAUUAGCACAAGCAAGGCAUAAUACACAUCAUACAUAAAACACAUGAAACACACAUAAAACUAACCUUAGAAAAGAUAAGGGUAUUGCUGGAGCAUGGACUCCCGUGUCUCCUAGGUGCAUUCUUCCAUAUUGUGGUGGUUCCAAAGGACUUUCACCAUCGGGAUUUCCUUGUUUCGCAGCUUCCUGAUCUGGGUGUCAAGAAUCCGCACUGGCUGUUCAACAUAGGUGAGAUCCUCUUGGAUCUCCACAUCAGGCUCACUAAGAACCUUGCCCGGAUCUGACACGAACUUCCUCAACAUGGAAACAUGGAAAACCGGAUGGAUUCUUUCCAUUGAAGCAGGUAAAUCCAGCUUGUACGACACAUUCCCAAUCUUUUGCAAGAUUUCAAAGGGUCCGAUGUAUCGUGGGGCUAGUUUACCUUUCUUCCCGAAGCGAACCACUCCUUUCAUAGGAGACACCUUGAGCAAUACCAAUCUCCCUCCUGAAACUCUACCUGCCUUCUGCGGAGGUCUACAUAACUCUUCUAUCUGCUUGUAGCAGUCUUGAUUCUUUCUCUGAUUAUGGGUACCACCCUGCUGGUGAUCUCUACUAGCUCAGGCCCUGCCAAGGCCUUCUUUCCAACUUCCUCCCAGCAAACAGGUGACCUGCACUUCCUUCCAUAUAAAGCUUCAUAUGGAGCCAUCCCGAUGCUAGCAUGAUGGCUGUUAUUGUAGGCAAACUCCACCAAGGGUAGAUGUUGCCUCCAAGAACCGCCAAAAUCCAGCACACACAUUCUAAGCAUAUCUUCAAUGGACUGGAUGGUCCUCUCUGACUGUCCGUCAGUCUGGGGAUGGAAGGCAGUACUGAAGUCCAACCUGGUACCCAUAGCAUUCUGCAGACUCCGCCAAAACCUAAAGGUGAACUGGGGCCCUCUAUCAGACACUAUCGAAACAGGAACCCCAUGCAGCCUUACCACUUCAUCAACAUACACCUGCGCUAAUUUAUCCACAGAGUAGUUGCUCCUGACAGGGAUGAAGUGAGCAGAUUUGGUGAGUCUGUCCACAAUCACCCAUAUGGAGUCUACUCUGUUGGAUGUUGCCGGUAACCCCACCACGAAGUCCAUAGCUAUAUUCUCCCAUUUCCACUCUGGAAUAGGUAGUGGGUUAAGCAUUCCAGCCGGCUUCUGAUGUUCCAGCUUCACCCUCUGACAUACUUCGCAGGCUGACACAAACUGUGCCACUUCCCUCUUCAUAGCUGGCCACCAAUAAACUUUCUUCAAAUCUUGAUACAUCUUGGUGGCCCCUGGGUGAACACUGUACCUGGCAUUAUGAGCUUUCCUCAUAAUGUCUCCCUUUAGACUGAUGUCAUCUGGUACACAUAAUCUGCUCCCAUAGCAGAGGAUCCCCUUGCUGUCAAAUCUGAAUUCACUAUCUUUGCCUGACUGAACAGUCCUGGCAAUCUUUACUAACUCUGGGUCCUCAUGCUGCUUUUGAGCCACCUGCUCCAAGAACACAGGUGUCACUAUCAUCUGGGCUAUCAAAGCACCUGUACCAGACAACUCUAGUUGUAGACCUUCAUUAAUAAGCUUGUAGAACUCUUUCACCACCGGUCUCCUCUCAGCCGUGAUAUGGGAUAAGCUGCCUAGCGAUUUCCGGCUUAAGGCGGCUGCCACCACAUUCGCCUUACCCAGAUGGUACUGAAUCUUGCAAUCAUAAUCACUCAGCAGCUCUACCCAUCUUCUCUGCCUCAAGUUCAAAUCUUUUUGACUCAGGAUGUACUGCAGGCUCUUAUGAUCUGUGAAGAUCUCACAUUUUACCCCGUAAAGGUAAUGCCUCCACAUCUUGAGUGCAAAGAUUACAGCUGCCAUUUUCAGGUCAUGUGUAGGGUAAUUCAACUCAUGCUUCUUCAGCUGCCUAGAAGCAUAAACAAUCACCCUUUCAUUCUGCAUUAACACACAACCCAAUCCCACUCGGGAUGCAUCACAGAACACUAUGAAAUCCUCCUGACUGUUAGGCAAAGCUAACAUCGGUGCUGACGUUAACCUCUUCUUAAGCUCUUCAAAACUCUCUUCACACUGGUCGGUCCACACAAACUUCUAAUUCUUCCUGGUUAACCUGGUCAGAGGAGCUGCAAUCUUGGAGAAAUCCUAGACAAAUCUCCUGUAGUAACCUGCCAAACCCAAGAAACUCUUGAUCUCUGUCACUGAAGUGGGUCUAGGCCAGUUAGCCACAACUUCUACCUUCUUGGGGUCCACCUCUAUUCCAUUUUCCGAUACAACAUGCCCCAAGAAUGAGAUGCUCCUCAGCCAGAAUUCACACUUGGAGAACUUGGCAUACAAGCCAUGUUCCCUCAAGGUCUGCAGAACCAACCUCAGAUGAUGGGCAUGCUCCUCUGCAUUCCUGGAAUACACUAAGAUAUCAUCUAUGAAGACAAUAACAAAGUGAUCCAGGUACUGGCUAAACACUCUGUUCAUGAGAUCCAUGAAUGUUGCAGGGGCGUUGGUUAACCCGAACGGCAUCACAAGGAACUCAAAAUGCCCAUAUCUGGUUCUGAAAGCCGUCUUUGGCACAUCCUCUUCUCUUAUCCUCAGCUGAUGAUACCCGGACCUUAGAUCUAUUUUGGAGAAACAACCCGCUCCUGCUAGCUGGUCGAAUAGAUCAUCGAUCCUAGGCAAAGGGUACUUAUUCUUGGUAGUGACUUUGUUCAACUGUCGGUAGUCGAUACAAAGUCUAAGGGAUCCAUCCUUCUUUCUCACGAACAAAACUGGAGCACCCCAAGGUGAGGUACUCGGUCGGAUGAAGCCCUUGUCUACCAGCUCUUACAAUUGCUCUUUCAAUUCUUUCAACUCAGCUGGAGCCAUCCUGUAAGGAGGGAUAGAGAUCGGUCUGGUUCCAGGUAUCAAUUCUAUCUCGAACUCUAUCUCCCUAGCAGGUGGUAAACCUGGCAGCUCGUCUGGGAACACGUCUAAAAACUCUCUGACCACUGGCACCGAGGCGGGCUCUCUAACCUGACUGCUAAGCUCUCUCACAUGAGCCAAAUACCCCUGACAUCCCUUCCUAAGCAACCUACGAGCCUGAAGAGCUGAUAUCAGACCUCUAGGUGUACCCCUCCUGUCUCCCCUGAAGACAACCUCUGACCCAUCCUGACCUCUGAACCUGACUACCUUGUCCCUGCAGUCCAAGGUAGCACCAUGGGUAGAUAACCAGUCCAUCCCUAGAAUGACGUCAAAAUCUGUCAAAUCUAGAACCACCAGGUCGGCGGACAAGCAUCUUCCCUCAACAAACACUGGACUACAUUGGCAGACUGACUCUGCCACUGAUGGGUCACACUUGGGUCCACUGACCCAUAGGGGGCACUCUAACCCAGAGACUAUUAAUCCCAACCUCUGAACGGCUCUCGGAGCAAUAAAAGAAUGAGAUGCACCAUGGUCCAUCAAGGCAUACACAUCUGAACAACCAAUGACGAGAUUACCUGCCACUACGGUGUUAGAUGCAUCUGCCUCCUGCUGAGUCAUCGUGAAGAUCCGCGCUGGAGCUGAUGGACCUUCACCUCUGAAACCCAUUGAAGAAGAGACUGACCCUCUCCCUCUGCCUCUGCCACUGGCCUGAGUUGUGGCUGGAGCUGCUGGCUGCGCUACACUACCUGAAGCUGUCUGCUGGGACUGAGCCAUAGGUACUGUCCUAGGACACUCCCGAGCCAUGUGUCCCUCUUGCCCGCAUCUGAAGCAGGCUGCUGUCCCAGCCCGGAAAACUCCCUUGUGUGGUUUACCACACCUUGCACAUACUGCAUUAUCUGCACCAGAGCUUGAGCCACUCCCUAAUCCCAAACUGGACUUGAUCUUGUUCCAGAACUUAUUCUUCUUGGGCUUCCUAGUGGUGUUACCCCACUUUCUACUGCCCGAAGCUGCUGCACUCAAGGAUGAGGGAUCUAGCCUUCCCUCACCCGGGGUCUUAGAACCAGAAGACUAUGCCACUGACUGCUUAACUGUCCCCUGAAUGAUGGCACUGGCCUCCAUUUUCCGGGCCAUAUCCACUAUGGCAUGGAAGCUCUCCCUAUCUGCUGACUGGAUCAAGGAGGAAUACCUGGAAUGGAGUUUCAUGAUAUACCUCCUUGACUUCUUCUGGUCUGAGUCAAGAUUUUGCCCUGCAAAUGGCAACAGCUCCAAGAAUCUGUCUGUGAACUCAUCCACACUCAUAUCAUCAGUCUGCCUCAACUGCUCAAACUCGAUCAUCUUCAGCUCCCUUGAACUAUCAGGGAAAGCCCAUCCUGCAAACUCAUUUGCAAACUCUUCCCAAGACAUGCUGUCCACCCUCGGGUUCACAUAAUUCUUAAACCACUCUCGGGCCUUCUUGCAUUUUAGUGUGAACCCAGCCAUCUGAAUGGCUCUGCUGUCAUCAGCUCCUAUCUCAUCAGUAAUUACCUUGACCCUCUCAAGAUACACAAACAGGUCAUCCCCUUUUUCAUACUGAGGGGCACCAAGCUUCAUUUAGUCGGUCAUCUUGACCUUGCUCCCUCCAGACGAGCUAGGUUUAGGUACUGGGGUUUCUGGAUUUGUGGGUUCUGUUGGUGGAGGGGGAGGUGCAGCAUCCCCUGGGGUAGGGUUUGCUGUACCUGGAUAGUAAGGUGGAGGUGGGUACAUGGGGUACUGUGGGUAUGGUGGGUAGUAAGAUGGGUAUGGCAUGUGAGAAGGGUAAGGAUUAAAGCUGGGGUAAUCCGAUGUACCUCCCAUCGAAUACCCGGGAUUUUGAGAAAAUGGUGGGUAGUGAGGUGGCUGAACAAAUCCCGAGGCCUGGGUGCCUCCUUGGGACUCUCCCAUUCCCUCUUCCGACAUGCUCACUCCUAAACUGCCAUCCCUCCUCUGAUCCACAUCCAUCUCAUCCCCCAUAUCAACUGACAUUCCUCCCUGAACUGUCCCCCUCACUGAUCUGCUUCUACCCAGAUCCAAAGACCUUCUAGGGUCUCUUACUGUUCUUUCUCUGCUGGACCUACUUGACAUUGCCCUAAGCAAUGCUGGAGGACGGGCAUCAGUGCCCUCGUCCUGGGGUGGUACUCCAGUCAAUCGUGCAGAUCGACGAGUUACUCUCAUCCUGUUUUCUGAAAAACAGUACACAUCACAUAAACAUUAGCAUCAUAUGGUUCAUGUGAGAACACAUGAACCCGUAUCACAUACAUAUCAUUCAUAUCAUGGCAUUAAUGCACAUGUAUAUAAUCAUGGCAUUUCACAUCAUCAUACAAGACAGGACUCCACAUCUUAUCCUAGUGGACAUGACCUUUCCUGUUGUGCUUGACCUUCUAUGACAUCUAUGAGCCCGACACUCUAGGUCCGACCAUAUGAACCUAGGGCUCUGAUACCAAUAUGUAACGACCCGAAAAUCGGACCGCUACCGGCGCUAGGAUCUAGAUCGGCAUAAGGCCGCCGGGACCCGUAGCAAGCCUAACAUACAUCCUAUAAAACUGUUUAAUCCCAUACAUGAUCAACAACAUACAUAAAAAUUUGAACUUUUCUUUACAUUCAUUCAUUCUUUCAUUCAUUCACCAAACUCAACCUGUGCAUGCACUAUACAUAACAUGAUCAUAAACAUCAACUCCUCUUUAGAGUCUCAACAGUGCCCCAAUGGGGUUACAUCACAUAUAUUGAGUUUGGUUACAUAAGCAUCAUUAAAAUCAUGUACUCAAAGGGAUUAACGACAAACUGGGGUCAAGCACAACUAUGAACCUCAAUAGAUCUCAUUACAUUACAUUUCCAUACUAAACUUAUACAUAACUGUACUCAACAUAACAUAUCAACAUUUUAUCAUGUCCACACUAACUAUUACAUGACCAUGACUUCAUUACUCUUGCUGACCUCCUGGUCUACCCUGUACCUGCAAACCUGGGGGAUUAGGGAAAGGGGUGAGCUACUAGAGCCCAUUGAGCAGAAUAAUGAAACAUUUAAAUCAUAUAUUAAAGUCUCAUGCUUUCAUGUAAUGCAACACAUCACAACAAAUCACAUCAAGGAUGGUAUUGUCACCAAUAGUCCUCUACAUUCUAAAGUGCCGGGACGUAGAAUGGGUCAACCGGACUUCCAUACCAUAACAUACCGUAUCAUAUCACAUCGCAUCAUAUCGAGGACUAAGGAUCAUCCAACAACCAUCCACAUCAACAUAGAAUUAUGCAAUGCAAUAUAUUCGUGAAUUCUAAUGCAAAACAACCUAGGAUAUCACAUGGCAUUCAUGAUGCAUGAACAUGCUCAAAACUUUAUAAUUUAUUCGCCUUAAAACGUAAAGGUUUAUUCUACUCACCUCAGCUAGCUCUGACAAUGACUGAAGCAGCUGACUCACUGCUGGGGUCCUCGGUUCCUCGGGUCCGAACCUACACAGGUGGACUAAAAGGAGGGACCAAACAUACUAGAACAUAACUCUAAAAACAUCCCCCAAAAACCCCCUAAAACACCUCAAAACAAUCAUGCAAAACAUGCAAAGGAAGGCUGAACAGGGCACUUUCGGCGGCAGGUUCGGCGGCCGAAAGUCCCUCCAGAGCCGAAAGUCAGGCAGGUUCGGCGGCACCUUCGGAGGCCGAAAGUGCCCUCCAGAGAUGAAAGUCCCUUUUUCGGGGGCAUGCUUCGGCAACCGAAAGGCUUACCUCCUAGGCAGGUUCGGCGGCCGAAAGUCCUUCGGCUGCCGAACCUGGUUUCUGCCAAAAGGGCAUAAACUCGGCUCACACAUGCUCCCAUGCCUCCCAAACCUUCAAUCAUGCAUACCACUCAACCAAAACAAGCAUAAACACAUACAUAAGCUCCUAGGGGCUUCAAACUAUCUUAAACCCCAACUACAACACAUCAAAAGCAACUCAGCAACCUACAUUAUACAUAAACACAACCCAAAACCUAACAAAGCUCAACCAACCUAAGCAUGCAUUCCUACCCCAAGAAUCAACUUAAACUUGUUUAAAAACAUAAAACGAGCUUAAGAUUUGCUCUUACCUCUUGAAGAUCGAGAGAGAGACGACCUAAACUCGGAGAACGGUGGGAGAGAGCUCCUGUGUCUUCCAAGCUUCAAAACUUGCUCUAAGCUCAAAAAUCUUCAAGAUAAAGUAAAAUCUCAUGAAAAUCAUGAAAGAUCUGAAGGAAGAAGCUAAAAAUCGAAGAGGGGCAGCGGAGAGCUCACCUUGGCCGAAAAUGGGGAGAAAAGCUCGCUCGUUCGGACAUGGGGACCCCUUUAUAGGUGGCUGGCCAGGCCACUUUCGGUGGCCUAACGUGCCUCCGCAUGCAUGCCAUGUUCAGCGGCCGAACAUAAGGUUCGGCGGCCGAACCUGGACUUCCCUCACUUAUGUUUUCGGGGGCCUAAGGCACACCCGAAGUGCAUGCACGUUCGGCGGCCGAACCUGGGUCUUCCUCCAAGAUUAUUUUUCAUAUAAAAACUCAUUUCUUACUUGGAUGCUGGUUUUAUUCGGCCUUCAAAGUCGCCCUAUGGAGCUACUGUCUUGUUUCAAAAGAAGAAGGACAACUCAUUGCGAAUGUGUGUGGACUAUCGGGCCUUGAACAAAAUCACUGUGAAGAACAAGUAUCCAAUCCCAUUGCCUGCAGACCUCUUUGACAGGCUUGGUGGUGCACGCUGGUUCACCAAGCUAGACUUGAGAUCGGGCUACUAGCAGGUUUGCAUAGCCGAGGGGGAUGAACACAAGACGGCUUGUGUGACGAGGUAUGGAUCCUAUGAGUUUCUUGUGAUGCCAUUUGGGCUCACUAAUGCACCUGACACAUUCUGUACUCUCAUGAGCAAAGUGCUCUAUCCUUUUCUUGACAAAUUUGUAAUAGUUUACUUGGAUGACAUUGUUAUAUAUAGCAAUACAUUGCAAGAGCAUGUUGAGCAUUUGAGGCAGGUCUUUAAGGUGCUGAAAGAGAAUGAAUUGUAUGUGAAAAAGGAGAAAUGCCUCUUUGCACAAAGGGAGGUACCCUUCCUUGGCCAUAUAGUGGGAGAAGGCAACGUGAGAAUGGACAGAAGCAAGAUUAAAGCCAUUAAUGAAUGGGACCCUCCAAAGCAAGUCAUUGUAACGACCCGAAAUCGAACCGCUACCGGCGCUAGGAUCCAGAUCGACUUAAGGUCGCCUGGAUCCGUAGCAAGCCUAACAUACAACCUGUCAUACCUGAUAAAUCCCAUACAUAAUCAUACAUUUACAUAAAAAUUUUAAACUUUCCAUCUACCAAGCUUGACAUGUGCAUGCACCAUAACUAUAAACAUAAAACUCCACACUAGAGCUCUCAACAAAUGCUUUAGUGGGGCAACAUAUCAAACAUCAAGCUUGGUUUAACAUUUCUUAACAUUAAAACAUUUCAUAACGAUCAUGUACAAAAGGGGAUUAACAUUACAUUAAGGCCAAGCACAACACUAAACCUCAUAACAUUAUUGUACAAUACUUUACAUCACAUUAUCUUUCAUGUCCACAACUAACUAUUACAUACACUAUACCUUUACUCUUGCUGACCUCCUGAUCUAUCCUGAACCUGCAAGCCUGGAGGUUAAGGGAAAGGGGUGAGCUACUAGAGCCCAGUGAGCAGAAUAGUAAAACAAUAUAUUAAAACAUAUGCUUUCAUGGAAUGCAUCACAUCACAAACAAUUCACAUCAAGGAUAGACUUGUCACCAAUAGCCCUCUACAUAAUCCAACAGGCCAGGACAUAGAAUGGGUCUCUGGUCUUUCCCUUAAACAUAACAUAUCAUAACAUUCCAAUGUGCCAGGACGUAGAAUGGGUCUUCUGGUCUUUCUCUUACAUUGUGCCAGGGCGUAGAAUGGGCCUCUGGACUUCCAUACCGCAUCAUCAUCAUCAUGCCAUAUCAAGGGCUAAUGGGCCAUCCAAUAUCCAUCCACAACAACAUCAAAUUAUGCAGUGCAACAUAUUCGUGAAUUCUAAUGCAAGUAACCUAAUAUAUCUCAUGGCAUUCGUGAUACAUGAAUAUGCUCAAAAUUUAAUUACUUUGAAACAUAAAGAUCCAUUCUACUCACCUCAGGCUAACUCUGAAAAGACUUUGAAGUAGCUAUCUCACUGCUGGGGUCUUCGGUUCCUCGGGUCCGAACCUACACAGGUGGACUCAAAUGAGGGACCAAACAUACACUAACAUGACUCUAAACAUCUCCCCAAAAACCCCCUAAAACAUCAUAAAACACUCAUAGAAAACAUACAAAGGAAGGCUGGACAGGGCACUUUCGGCGGCAGGUUCGGCGGCCGAAAGUCCCUCCACAACCGAAAGUCAGGCACUUUCGGGGGUAGGGUUCGGCGGCUGAAAGUCCUUCCAGAGCCGAAAGUCACCCACUUUCGGGGGUAGGUUCGGCGGCCGAAACUCCCCUCCAGAGCCGAAAGUCUAACUUUCGGGGGCGAGUUUAGGCGGCCAAAACUUGCCUCCAUAGGCAGGUUCGGCGGCCGAACAUAGCUUCGGCUGCCGAACCUGGGUCCUCCAAAAUGGCAGAACCCAAGCCACAAACACUCAUCCAGCCACCCAAAACCUCUAAACUCAAACCAAACCACUUAAAAUCAUGCAUAAACACAUCCAGAAGCAUUUAGGGGCUUAAAACUAACCUAUACCCCAACAACAUCAACAUUUAACAUAUAUUAAACAUACAUUUCAUCAUUUAACUCACAUAAACCCUAACAUUUUACAACUACUCUAAACAUGUAUGCAACACCCUUCAAACCCCUCAAAACUUACUAAAAAUAUGAAAGAAGGGUAGGAUCUACUCUUACCUCUUGAAAAUCGAGAGGAGAGGCGAUCCAAACUCGGAGAUGGGGAGAAAUCGAGCUCCGGGUCUCCAAGCUUCAAAAUCUUGAUCUUAGCUCAAAAAUCUUCAAAACCAAGUUAAGACUUGUUAAAACUUGAAGAGAUUGAAGGAAAAACUCAAAAUCAACCAAAGUAGGGCGAAAUCUCACCUUUACCCGAAAAUAGAGAGAGAAAACUCGCCCAUUUUUGGACAAGGGGCCUUUUAUAGGUGGCUAGCCAGACCACCUUCGAAGACCAAAAGAGCUUCCGCAAGUCACCAACGUUCGGCGGCCGAACAUGAGGUUCGGCGGCCGAACUUGGCUUUUCCAACCUUGGUCUUUUCUUUCAAAACUCAAUUUCUUUCUUUAUUCAAAGCAUAAAACAUGUAAAAAUAUUUUAUAAAAACAUGAUUUUACCCUUCUAGAGGGUUCCGACAUCCGAGAUUCCACCGGAAAGAAGGAAUUCCGAUGCCGGGGUCUAGCCGGGUAUUACAGUCAUGGAGCUACGAUCUUUCUUUAGAUUGGCCAACUACUAUCGGAGAUUCAUUAAAGGCUACUCUUCAAUUGCCGCCCCACUGACUGAUCUGUUGAAGAACAACAACAAGUGGGAUUGGGAUGAAGAGUGUCAAAGGGCCUUUGAAGCACUGAAGUAGGCCAUGACUGAAGAGCCAGUGCUUGCCCUGCCCAAUUUUUCUAAGUUGUUCGAAGUGCAAACUGAUGCCUCCAACUUUGCUAUUAGUAGGGUGCUAAUGCAAGAAGGCCACCUAGUUGCCUAUGAGAGUAGAAAGCUGAAUGACACCGAGAGGCACUAUACGGUGCAAGAGAAGAAAAUGACUGAUGUGGUGCACUGCUUGAGGACGUGGAGACACUAUCUUCUAGGGUCCAAGUUCAUGGUGAGAACGGACAAUGUUGCUACCAGCUAUUUUAUGACCUAGAAGAAGUUGACACCAAAGCAGGCUCGGUGGCAAGCUUUUUAGGGGAGUUUGAUUUCACGAUGGAAUACAAGCUAAGUCGUGCAAACCUUGUAGCUGAUGCUUUGCCCAGAGAAGCAAAAUUGGUAGCCACAAGUGUGCUGACAUUACCACUAGAGGAGCGGAUAAAAGAAGGUAUGAAGCAUGACAAGCACUCGCAAGAGUUGCUGGAUUGGGCAUGACUUGGCAGAGUGCACAAGUAUUCUAUUGAUGGGGAGCUUUUGAAGACAGAAUCAGGCUGCUUGUAUGUCCCAGAUUGGGGAGACUUGCGUAAGGAUAUUAUAAGAGAAUGCCAUGACUCUUUAUGGGCUGGUCACCCUGGCAUGAAUCGCAUUAAGGCGUUGGUGGAGCGUGCCUUCUCUUGGCCUCGGUUGAAGCAUGAUGUUGAGGCCUAUGUUAGAACUUGCCUGGUGUGCUAGCAAGAUAAGGGUGAGCAGAGGAAACUAGUUGGACUAUUGGAGCCUUUGUCCAUUCCAGAAAAGCCAUGGGAGUCAAUUUCUAUGGAUUUCAUUGUGGAACUUCCAAAAGUGGAUGGAUGUGGCAACAUUAUGGUAGUUGCGGACAGAUUUAGCAAGUAUGUUACCUUCAUUCCUAUUCCGGAUAAAUUCAAUGCUGAAGAUGCUGCCCGGUUGUUCUUCAGAUAUGUUGUCAAGUAUUGGGGCAUAUCUCGGUCAAUUGUGAGUGACCAUGACAUACGGUUCACGGGGAAAUUCUAGACUGAGCUGUUCAAACUACUGGGCACAGAGCUGAACUUUUCAACCUCAUUCCAUUCGUAAACAGAUGGGCAAAUGAAAAGGGUGAAUGCUUUGCUGGAAAUGUACUUGAGACACUUUGUCAGUGCCAAUCAAAAGGACUGGGUGCAGCUCUUGGAUGUGGCACAAUUCUCCUACAACUUGCAGAAAUUUGAGGCCACUGGAGCUAGCCCGUUUGAGAUUGCCACGGGGAGACAACAUCUCACUCCUCACACGAUUGCCACAAGCUAUAGAGGGAGGAGUCCAGGAGCUUACAAGAUGGCUAAGGGAUGGCAAGAAAAGAGAGAAAUUGCUAAAGAACACCUUAGCAAAGCUUCGAAAAAGAUGAAAAAUGGGCUAAUGCAUCAAAAAGGCAUGUGGAGUUUAAGAAGGGAGACUUGGUGAUGGUCAAACUCCUUCCACACUUGCUAAGAAACUAUGGAAAAGUCCAUAAAGGUCUUCUUCGGAGGUAUGAGGGCCCCUUCCUGAUUGAGAAACGGGUUGGAAAUAUGGCAUAUCGAGUGAAGUAGCCUGAGCAUAUUGAAGCUCAUCCUGUGUUCCAUGUGAGCAUGCUGAAACCAUUCCACAAGGAUGAAGGUGAACCGAGUAGAGGAGUGUCUCAAUGAGCACCAGCUGCUAUUGGCAGGAGCUAUGCUAACCAAGUGAAGGAGAUAAUAUCGCAUCAGGUGGUGCCAAGGAGAGCCAACCAUCCAAGUUACAAAGAAUACUUGGUACGUUGGAAGGGCCUGUCUGAUGCCGAAGCAACUUGGGAGCAUGAGCUCAAUCUAUAGGAAAAUGAGGAUGAGGUGCUAGCCUACUGGCAAGGGGCGACGAGGGCGUCGCCACAUUAGCUGGAGGAGAAUGUUACCCGCCCAAUGAGCUCCCCCAAGUCCAAUUGGUAGAAUGUCCCAAUUGGCCAUCAUCAGGGGCUGAUGUAGGCGGAAAAUUAGCUUGUGAGCCUUGGCGGGCUGGGUUGCUAAAAUCGGAUGUGGGUUGCCUAGCUUGGAUUGGCUAGUAGGCCUGUUGACGGAUUGGCUGGUAGGGUGGAAGGCCUGCUUGGCAGAACUGAUAAGCAGAAAAACCUGCUAGGCAAAAUUAGCCAGCAGCGGAUGCUCAGCUGGCCUGGCAACAGGCAGCUCGGAUGCCCCGUAGGCCUACCGAGGAUGAGCUUGGAUAUCUCAUAGGCCUACCACGGAUGAGCCUCGGAUGUGCCGUAGGCUUACCACGGAUGAGCUCAGAGGUGCUGUAGGCCUACCAAGGAGGAGCCCGGAUGUCCCGUAGCCUGCCAAGAGGGAACUUGGAUACUUGGUAGAGUUGAUUGCCACAGGAAGGUACGAUUCGCGGAGUUGGCUGGGACAGUAAGAAUCCUAGGCCGCGGAACCUCGAUAAGGCAAGUAGAACACCUCGAUUGGCCAGCGGGCUUAGCAAGGCUGAUUGGCCAGCGGGCUUGGCAAGGCUAGUAGUCCGUAGGCCUGUGACCUCGCUGAGCGCCCAAGACACGGGGGAAAGUCGCGCAGGCCACGCCCCAACACGUCCCAGACUCGUGCCAGCCCUUCCAGGCGAAGAUGGGCAAAGGUGGGUGAAUUCUCCAGAGAAUUCUGGAACUACCAGGCUAAAUGUCGGCGACACACCUCCUUCAAGGCACAUUGGCCAGAUGGAAGCCUCUGAUUAGUCCAGCUGUCCCACUAUUUUUAUGGCUGAAGAAUUUUCUUAUUUUUAAUUUAUUUUCUCAAUUAGUCUCAGCCAAUAGUUGAGGAGGUGGAGGAACACUAUAAAUACCCCUCCUGUUGAGAAUUGUAGAUACUGUGCAUGCUGUAUUCUGAGUGAGUGUGCUGUAAAGAAGGCCUCUUAUAAUUCUGUUCUUAAUCAAUAAAAAGCAAGCUUCCUACAUUCAAUCUUCUACAAACACUCAUCUUCCUUCUUUGUUGCUUGUGUUCAUUGACCAUUGCUUCCAAGAGUGCUGUACAUUCUGCUGAGUUCAACCUCCUAUUGGUGAACUGCUGUUGGAGAGAAGGCUGACUUAGCUCAGAAAGUGGUCUAAAUGCCGCACGUGGCCAUGAAAAGACGAAUUUAUUGAGUUUUCUGGCAAGAAACAUAACAUAUUUCUCCUAAAAUUAUUUAGAAUGCUACUUACUGGUAAAUCUUAAUGCUUGAUUUCUGAUUAAACUCUCUCUCUCCUCAUUGUUUUAUUGAUACAUUGUUAGGGGUGUGCAUCGGUUGGUUCGGUUCGGUACCGAAUCGAACCGGCCAAAACCAAUUUAACCGAAUUGUUUCAAAAUGUAAACCAAACCGAACCAAAUAAGACAGAAAAUCGAAUCGAACCGAACCGAACUAGUUCAGUUCGAUUCGGUUCGAAAUCGAUUUUUGAGUUUUUUUCUAAUUUCAUUGAAUUAUAUUAUAAUUUGAGCCUAAUAAGAAUUUAUUUAAACCUAAUAUAUUUAAUUAAUCAUAAAAUCCAAUCAAUUAAUCAUAAAAUCCAAAUUAAUCAACAACUUCUAACCUAAUAUACUUAAUCAAUGAGGUACUGAGCUUCACCAGCUUAAUUGCUGUAAUAACUCUAACAAAGUGAUCAAUUCUAAGGAUUGAAACAUCCUCAAACCACCAAUCAGGAGGAACCAACUGAUUUCUACUUGGCCUUGAAUCAAUCAUAGGUGGUUUUCCAGUGUAUGCCCAUCUGAUCCCUCUCGGAUUUGCACAAGCUUUCCAAGCAAUGGAUUCACUGCAUCUUCUUACAAUCUGGAGAUUCUCCGCCCAUGGUGAGAGCUUCUCACAGCUUUUCAAUACUAAUAUAGAAUCCCUCCAUGAUGAUAACACCACAUAACUAAGAAAAGCUUCAGUUUUGAAUAUGAGAUUACCUUCUUCUAAGUCCUCUGUCAUUUCUAGAUACUCUGCUGCACAUCUAAGGCCAGAGAUAUUGGCUGCUGUCAGAUCAACAGCAAUUCCAUAGCAGAACUUUGCUACAAGCUCAAAUCCUUCAGCUCCUCUUGGAAGAUCAUCUAAUGCUAUUUUACUCAGGUCUGGGUCACGUGAUUCAUAUAUUAAUCUGUUCAUUUUUCCACACCGAGAAAACAGAGGAUACUUGUGCAAUAACAGAAAUGGAGAAAAUGGGUAGUCAAUAUAAAUCAAGAACUAAUUUUUCUGCCAUUGAAGUUUGAAUUUGGAGCUUGAGAGAAGUAAAAUGACUACCUUAUGCAAGUGGAAAUAUACAACUCCAAUCUGAACUAAAAGAUCACUUGGAAUAUCAGUUGCAACAUACCUGCAGAAGAAUGAUUAGAAGCUAAACUAUUAGCCAAAACAAACCAAAACUUGAAAAAGAACAGAACUUUUAAUUUCAUUUAGCAAACACACCAUGACUGGCCCCUGAGCUCAAACCCAUCGAACUUGACGCCAUGCUUGCUUGAGCUAAGAACUCCAUUACCAUAAUCUCGACCAACAACAGAUUCACUCUCAGACUCCCACAUGAUUGUAAACUAAAAUCCAACAAAACUUGGGCAGAAUUUUCUCAUAAAAAGUGCCUAAAAACUAGAGUUGCAGCAGAGCAACGAAUAGGAGAACAGUGGAAAAUAAAGGGAAGAAUUCCACAUGGGUUGGCUUAUUAAAACAACAUCAAAACAAUAUCAAAACAAUAUCAUCAAAAUAUAAUAAUAAGUAGUCCACACUCCAUAUUAUGUCUAUAUACUUCAUAUAAUCCACUAACAACCAACCAUAUAUCCAUAUUCAGAUAUCCUCCAUUUAAUAAACAUAAAACCUAAUAAAAUAGUUAAUUCCAAAAUAUCCAUCAACAAUUAUGUCACCAACAAUCAACCCUCUAUUCUUCAAUUCCUUCAUUCUUCAAAUGCCAAUUAAUUUCUAUUAAAACAUGAAAAAAAAUAUUAGAAUUGUUAAACUAAAUGAACAAAUCCACUGAUAUAUAUAUAUAUAUAUAUAUAUAUAUAUAUAUAUGAAUAAUUACCUAAUUUACCUUCAACUAUCCAAAUUUAUCGUAUUUUCAUUUGUACUAUUGCUCAUGUCCACAUUUGCAAAUACUGAAAAAUUAAAAAAAAAAGUAAAAUUGAUACUUUAAAAUAAAAAUAAAUAAAACAUAAAAAAGCAAAUUAAAUAAGAUUAAUACAUACAUUCUUCAAGUCUUUCAAGGUCUGCAAUUUGUUCUUCAAUCGAUUUGUGAUGUUGGGAUUUUCGCAACCAAUUUUGUGUGCAUAUUAAGGCUUCCACUAUUUUAGGAGUUAAAGAACUCCUAAAAUAAUCAAGCACUCUACCUCCAGUGCUAAACGCUGAUUCUGAAGCAACUGUGGAUAUAGGAACCGCUAAUAUAUCUUUCACCAUGUGUGAUAAGAUAGGAAACCUAUUAGCAUUCAUUUUUCACCAUUUUAAUAUGUCAAAAUCUUCUUUCCCAUCCAAAACUAAAAUGUCCUCAUUCAGAUAAGAAUCUAAGUCAGACUUGCUCUUCGCUUCACCAAUCUUUAUUUUAUGUUGCAUGAAUUGAUGUCCCAAUCUCAUUUUAGGUUUCUUUUUUGUUCCAUCUUCGAUGCUCUUACUUACAUUUCCAAUGUGUUCAUUUGCAUUUUCAGAUUGAAAUAUUCUCUUGUAGUCAUCAAAUAAUUCAUACACAAACAAUUUAACCUUCUUUGCCAAUUCUAUACCUUUUUCUUUUCCAUACACAGUUGAAAGAGCAAAAUGCAUAAAUUCUAACUUAUAUCGAGGGUCAACCACCACUAUAAUGUAAAUAAUUUUAUUCAUCUUAUCAGGAUCCCCCCAAUAUUUAUCAAAUUUAAGCUUCAUCUUCUCUCCCAUACAUGACAAUUCCAAGUUAUUACUUGAUUUCCACUCUUGCAACAAACAGUCAAUAGAACUAAUCUCAUCAAAAAAUAUAUUAGAAAUAACAUAUCUAGAUCCAGAAAUUCUCAAAGUUCAUAAAAAUGUCCCAAAAAUUCAACAAUUUUUUCAAUAUAUUCUCAUUCUAGACUAUCUGGCACACCAUUACCCUCACAUGAUUGAAGAUCAAUUUUAAAGUAUGGAUCUAUAGUUGCAUAUCUGUCAAAUGCAUUUUCAAACUUCAGUGCAGAACUUAACAUCAGAUAAGUAGAAUUCCACCUAGUGGACACAUCUAAGCAUAAAGAACUCUUACUUUGAAUCCCUUCUAUCUCACAAUAUGCCUUAAACCUUUGCAACCUCGCAGGAGAUUGCCUAAUAUACCUAACUGCAUCUCUAACCUUUUUAAUUGGAGUAAGACCAUCCUUCAUUCCAUCAACAACAACUAAAUUGGUUAUGUGGGCAAUGCAUCUCAUAUGAAGAUAUUUGCAAUUUAAAAUGCUAAACCCCCAAGCAUUGAUUUUCUUUUUCAAAUAGGAAAUUGCAACAUCAUUUGAACUGGCAUUAUCAACAGUUACAGUAAAGACUCUCUUAUUUCCCCAAUUAAGCAAGCAACUUUCAAUUGCCAUCCCUAUGUCAUCACCUUUAUGACUUGUAAUAAGACAAAAAUUAAUAAUUUUCUUCUGCAGUGUCUAAUUAUCAUCAAUAAAAUGUGCAGUGACAUACAUAUAGUUGAUUCUUUGCAAUGAGGUCCAUGUAUCUGUAGUAAUACAAACCCUUUGACUAGUUUUCUGAAAAAAAAUUUUUAAUUUCUUCCUUUCUUCUAAAUACAAGUCAUAACAAUCCCUAGAUACUGUCCAACGAGAUGGUAUUCGAAACCUAGGCUGUGUAUAUUCAACCCAUUCUCUAAACCCUUCCCCUUCUACAAACAUAAAUGGAAGCUCGUCAACAAUAAUCAUCUUAGCUAGUUUCUGCCUCGAAACAUUCUGAUCAAAAUGCCAUGAACUUAAUGUACCUAUCUGUGUUCCCCCUCCUCCCUCUUGUGUACUACAGGUAGGUUGCAAAGACAGUUGGAAUUGUCUUGUAGUCAUACUAUGAGGGUUCUUUAUGCAUACAAACAUAUGAUUUCUAAGUGAAGUAGUACCAUUCUUUUUUGGAUCAGAAAAAAAUUUCUUAUCACAAUAAUUGCACUUGCCUUUUUGUGUACCAGUAUUAUCGACAAACUUAGUGAAGUGAUCCCAAACAGUUGAUCUUGGCUUCAUACUCUUUCUUUUUGUUUUGGAAGUAGCUUCUCCUACUUCAGUUUGGCUUGAAGUAAUUGGAGGUUGAUUAGACAGUAUCAAAAGAGGAUUACUUGAUACUCCUUAUUGUGACUCUGUCAUCUUCAAAUAAAAAUUGAUCUGUAUAAAUUGAAAAUAUAAAUAGUUACACACAAAUUUAAAGUAUUAUAAAGCACAAAAAAUAAAAAAAUAAUGCACCUAAAACUAGAUUAAACCUGACAAGAUGAAAUCAUAAAUGAAAUCAUAGAUGAUUUAUUCUAGCAGAAUUUACAAGAUGAAAUCAUAAACGAUGAAAUACACCUGAAUAAAUAAAUAAACUUUCCUUAAACUCCCAAAUUCUUACCAUACAGCAGCUAAAAAUAUAAAGGCAAUCAUACCAGACAUGAAAUAUAUUAGAAAACAAAGGACACUUACUCAUGACUGUGAUGAUAAUGACAUUAUAAAAUAUAAAACUAGUACUGCAGGGAAACAUGUUGUCACUAGAAACACCUCUCAAUUGGCUGUAAUUGAUUACUAGAGCAAACACUAAAACUUACAAGCUAGAAUAAAUCUCGCGAGAGAGAUGGCUGUCAAACACUGAAACUUACAAGCUAAACUUACAAGCUAAGUUCAUGAAACUUACAGUGAAAAGAGUCUCGCGAGCGACAGCUAUGAGAGAGAGACGUGAGCGAUGGCCGUGAGAGAGACACGCGAAGGAUGGAGAGAAGAGACUCUGGCUUUGGCGAGUAGGUGGCAGGGUGGGUGGCUAGUGGGUUGCUGUGGGACUGGCGAUUGGGUGGGUGGGUGGUUGUGGCUGCGGGACUGAAGCGGCAAAGGAUGGAGAGAAGAGACUGGCUUUGGCGAGUGGGUGGCAGGGUGGGUGGCCGAUGGGUGGCCGGUGGGUGGCUGUGGGACUGGCGACUGGUGUGAGUGGCUGUGGCUACGGGACUGAAGAGAGAUGAAGGUAUCGUAUGCGCCGCGUGAAGAAGGACGUGGGAAUGGGAUGGGAAGUGAACUGAAUUGAUAUAACCCUAUAAUAAAACGCUGCGUUUCAGAUUAAAUUCGGUCGGUUCAGUUCGACCGAACUAUUUUGACUCCAAAAUCGAAUCGAACCAAUCAAUCCGAAAUUUUUAAAAAUUAAAAUCGAACCGAACCGAUUUUAUUUUAAAACUAAACCAAAUUAUUAAAUUAAAUCGGUUCGGUCGAUUAUUUCAAUUCUGACCGAACAACGCUCACUCCUAUACAUCGUCAUUGUCAUAAAAUUUAUUUUGCUGGUAGUUGUGAUAAUUACUUAAAAUGAUAUGAGCUUGCAUUAUUAAAGCAAAUGAAGAAUAAAUGAGGAAUGAAAUGGAUUAAAAGAUGUAAUUCACUGUUUUGUUUUGUUUUUAUUUUAAGUGGGAUUUAUUUUGAUAAAAAAAUAAUUACUUACCUAAUGUUACGUCAUCAGAAGUUAUAGUUUUAAACUAUUAAUAGAAAAGUGCUACUUGCUAAUAUUGUGAAAGCAUGUGUGUAUCUAUUAGAAACUUCAAGUUUAAAUCUUUAAUUAGAAGAUAUAGCGCAGCAUCUCGCUACAAACUUUGACUUCCAACCUAAUUAACCCCCAGAGAUUUUUGUAAAACCCAUAUCUUUUAAUCUCCAACAUUGAAAUAAUAAUAUAAGGAUCGAUAUUUUAUAAUAAAAAAUUAUUGCUAAUCAUUAUAAUAUAAAAAAUUUACUAAUUAAUAGUUUAAUUUUAAAAAUUUUUAAAAAUAUAUUAAAAUAUUAUUAAUAUUUUAAAAAAUUUAUUAAUUAAUUUUUUUUUGAUAUAAAAAUAUUUUAUUUUUUAUAAUAUUUAAUGAUUAAAAUUAAUAAAAUUUUAAUAUAUUCUGUUAAUUUUUCAUAAUUUACCUUUUAUAAAUUUAUAAUUGACCUUUAUCUUUAUUAAAUUAGUCUCGGGCCUUCACCGGGUCUAACCAUGAGUAUUGGUGAAUAGCAACGUCUGUGACUCUGACAUAAAACAAAUGAUAGGAACCCAACAAUUGACUGACUUUUCUAAGUCUUUGCUUUUCUUCACGUUCUUCUUUAAAGUCUCUUCCCUCUCUUCUCUUUUGAUCUCUCUAAGUAUCUAUGCCUCGCUGCUUGAUGUUCUUUACUUGCUUUCUAUGCUCGGAAAUUUCACGCCUUCAGCUUACAGGUUUCUUUGCCUCUUUACAUUUUUAUAAUCAACACUAUUCUCUCUUUUGGGUUCUUGUCCGUCGUCAUGCAUAUAUUUAGAUGGUUGGAAUUUGGAUGUCUCAGAUACUUGGAUUGUGUUCUUAAUUUUAGUUAAAGCUCUUCAAAAAUGCCGAAAUUGGGUUUGCAUUUUCAUUUUCUCUCUCUCUUUUCCACUUGGGGUUCUUAACUGACUUUUAUCAUUGUUGAUUUCCCAUUGUAAGUCAGAUAGUAGUUUAUUUAUUUCUUUAUUUUGGGCUCAAAUAUGGUUAAACAAUGACUGUGAUUGAAAGAAUAAUUUACUGCAGGUUAGGCUUAUGGUUAACUUUAUCCAAUAAACGAACUCUUAGUCAAUUUGUCUGUUUUUCUUUUUGGGCUCAAAUAUGGUUAUACAAUGACUUGGAUUGACAGAGUAAUCAGCUGCAAAUUAGGAUUGUCAUUGGAUUUAUCCAGUGAAUGAGCUCUCAUUAAGCAAUUGCAUUGCACGGUGAAUUCCCAUAUACUGCAAUGUGAAUUGGGUUCUCUUCCAUUUUAACAUUAUUGAUUUAACCAAUCUUGAGACAGAGCACUAGCGUUAUGGCUUGUUCUUCAGUCUUAACCUUACAGCAUAGUGAAUCAGAGUAUAUCUUUACUGAGCAAAAUUUUAUAUAGAAAUCCAUUCCAUUCACUUAGAGAACCUGUUGAUUUUACAGAGGUCCCAGUUCCUGCUUCUGCUUGGGCAUGGUUCAUUCGAUACGCUAAUAUCUGAUGCAUUAUUUGUGGCAACUGAACAAAUUUAUGCUUAAUAUGUCAAUUGAACUAAUAUGAUGCUUUAUACACUACCAUUAGCAAGCGGGAAAAUGUAUGCUUAAUGUGGUGAUUGAACUAAUAUCUGAUGCAUUAUUUGUGUGAUACACUACAGGCGGUAAAUAGUUUUCAUCUAUUCAUAAUUAACUUUGUUUUCUAUAAUCUUCCAUAGGAUAGAUCAGGCAUUGGAUGUGGGUCUGAAAGUGUGUGCCCAAAGACAGAUUCAGAUAGUGCUUUCCUUGCUAUGGUGUACGAGGAAUAGAUAAUAACAGAUAAAAGGAGUGUGGAUGUGCCCUACUGCUACGUAAAGACAUGUUGACCAUCAAUUUAGUUGCCAGCAAGUGUAUAUAUUAUACAACCCCAUAAGAUGGCUAACAUAAAAAUUAAGAAGUCAUCUGAAAUGCAGACAAAUACCUACAAGGGGUUGGAAAUUUGUGUACAUGUAGGUAUGGAAUGUGUUUAUAGGUUUUAGGAAGACCAAAGUAUGUAAGGAAUAAGUAAGGAUAGAAAUGAUAAGGAAGUAAAGUGCCAAUAGCCAGCAAUUAAGUUCAGAAUUUUCUCUAGUUGGUACCUUUUGCAUGAGAACAGCAAUAGAGCACAAAGCUAAAAGUGCUGGCUGACAUAGCAUCAUAAAUGGUAGUAGGAUAUUAGUCAGUUGUAUUCUAUUCACCAUCACUGCAUCAUAAUGUGUUUGAGUGGACGUUUUGGAGUUCUGUCCAGUGAGUUCAGUUCAUCUUCAUUAAUUUUACAAAUAUAGGAAACUAACUGUCGUACUUCUGUCCUACUAUGUUAUAUCAGGAUUGCAUUGUUUGUGUUUAACAUUAUGUAUUGAUGUUAUGCAUUUGUCGACAAAUUUUUUUGAAGCUAUAAAUAUUUGUGCAUUGUGCUUCUACUUUUUCACUUUUUAUUAUCAUUUUAUUUUGUUGUUAGUCAAAUUAAUUUUUGUUUGAAUUUUUCUUUUGUUGAAAUAGUCGCUUAUUUAUAUUGAAUAUUGAGCUUUUUUAGCAAUCUUCUCUAGGUCUUAUUUGUUAAAAUGGCUAAUUUCGACAAGGAUGAGGUGCCCAUGUUGUCAGAUGUGCAUCCCCAAUUAUUAGAUGAAAACGUGGAUUCUCGAGUCCAGGCAUUUACUUCCUGGACUAGGAGUGCGUCAAUUUCUAUUCCUACAAAUUCCAUGGAGCCCUUUGGAAAUGAAGCCAACCUUGUUGGAUAUACUGGUCCAUUACGUAGUGAAAGAAGAGCUCCAUUGAUACAAAUGAGCGGUCCAAUCUAUAUCAACCGCAAAGCUGAAAACCUUUUUGAUCUAAAUCAUGGUGUAACAGGUCACAAAAUAGUAGAACCCAAGGCUGAAAAAUUUCCUUCUUUUAAUGGGAUGGAUCAGCAUGACUGGACUGAUGACAGGUAUGCUGGCAAAAAUGAACAUUUACUGAGGUCCGGGCAAUUGGGAGUGUGCAAUGAUCCUUAUUGCACAACCUGCCCAACAUAUUACAAUUUCAAACCAGCACAGCAGAAACAUUCGAAAGCUUCAGUUAUUUUUGACCCCAAGGUGAACAUUGUAUUUUCCCUUUUUCUUUUGCUUUAAGAAAGAAAUUAGAAUUUCCCACGUUGGUAGUUUUUCUAAACCAUGUUAUCCCAUUUCUUGCCUGCUAUCUUAUGAAUGUGGAGUCAAAAGUUCUAUUUGCAUAAUGGAUGGAUACUUCAACUGUAAAUGACUAUCUUUUCGCAAAUAUUAUUGUUUUAGUGGAUGACCUUGUUCUUGCAACUUUUCCUAUUAGAAGCUUAUGGGAGUUUAUUAGUUUAUGACUUUCCAUAUAUAUUAUUUUUCUGAUUUGACUCACAGACAAGCCACAUUAAUAUUACAUUUGCAGGCAUAUUUUUGUUGAAAGUCUUAUUUUUUGAGGCUUCUAAUGUUUUAGCAGGAAAAUACAUUUUCCUUUGAAUUUUGCAUCAUAUUUGGGCAUAUUAGUUUGGUUUGCUGUUGCAGUUUUCCUGGGAGCAAAUAGGUUGUUUAGUUUAUUAACAUGUCGAGAUAAGAUAGCUCACCAUUCAUGUGUCACCUAUUUGUGUUCUCACAGUUUUGUGACUGGAACACCUAUCAAUACUUUAAGUGGUCUUCAUAACUACACUGAUGAGAUACGUAAACAUUUUAACCAAUGAAUGUAUUGAACUGGCUGGCUUUAUCUAUGUCAGAGGGCUACUUUUGCAGUGAAAAGUGACGUUAAAUUCACCAGUUCAAGUGUUCAACAGCCCACAAAAAUGUGGAAUUGUUUGUUACUGAGGAGAUACAGAAACAUUUCAAAUAAUGAAUGUACUGAACUGGCUGGCUUUAUCUAUAGCAGAGGGUUAUUUUUGCAGCGAAAAGUGGCAUUAAAUUCACUAAUUCAAGUGUUCAACAGCCUAUAGAUAUGUGGAAUUGCUUCUUAGCCCUGGUAGAGAUCAACUUCUACCUAAAAGCCAGAGAAGAAGAUACACAAUUUGUUCUUAAUAAAUGAAAGUUAUGAUUGAUGAUGGUUAUGAAAAUGCUAUAAUGGUGUCUCAUUUCAUUAAUAUGCUCUCUCAAAUGUUGUCACGUUAAGGAAUUGCCUACUAAUCCUAAUUGAGUUACAAACAAGGAUAAUUGAGUUAAAAUGUUAGUGUUGAAAUUUAUGGAUUCUGAGAUUUAGAACUAGAAAAGAAGGGUUCGAGACUAUUUUAGACUUGACUUAUUAAUAAAUUAAUUGAGGUGAAAAUGGACUUGUUUUUCUGCCAUGAAAAGUAUGUCAAAUUCCAGUUGUAACAGAGAACAGUGAGCAUGAAGCAGGGAAGAAGGAGAAUGGGUAAAAAGAACUUCUUUGGAAAAAGAGUAAGGGAAAGAGAGAAAUCUCACAUUUUCAUGCAGUCUGCAAACUAGUUAUAAUAUUAAUAAUUCCUUUGCCAAAAAACUUAUGCAAAUAACUAUUUACAUAUGACAUGUAUUUAUGGAGAUUAUGAGUUGUCCUAGUGUAAAUAAGAUUUACUAAAUAAUUAUCCCGAAUAAAGAAUUUGAUGAGAAAGGUAUAAAAUAUAGUAAUUAAGAAUUAUGUGACUGUAAAUCAAAAUCUCCAUUUUCUUGGCUGCAUCAGUACACAGUAAAUCAAAAUCUCCAUUUUCUUGGCUGCAUCAGUACACUUCUUUGAAAAGUUUCUCUUUUGAUUUUUUUGUAAUGAAAACUUUCAUUAUCUACCAUUGGUAUUUUAUUUUAGUUGCAUAUUUCAUGUCACUUUUAUACUUCUAAGUGUGAGGAAGCACUCUGAAUCCAAUGAUCAGGCCAUAAUUAUUGGAGUAAUUUGCUUGAUGCUAUAAGAUAUGUAUUGUAUGGUUGGUAGAUAAUAUGUUUGUUUCCUUCACUAUCCCUAUGCUUUAUUUCCUAGAAUUAUAUUAUAAUAUUGCAAUUUGCAACUACACUAACAUUAAUGCAUUUUCUUUUUGUUUUUUUAUUUGUUGGCUCCUUUCUAGUUCCAUAAUGCUCUUUACGGUGAUGCGAAGGGUUGGGCUACGAAAUUUAUAUCUUUCCUAAAUUCAUAUAUUCCUGGAGUUAUGAAUCCUCAUACUAAAGUCGUUCAACAUUGGAACAAAUUUUUUGUCUUUUCAUGCUUGGUGGCAGUUUUUGUGGAUCCUUUGUUUUUCUUCUUGUUGUCCGUGCAACAGGUAAGGCUUUGUUUGUUUUUCAUCUUGGAAUAUUCUGGUAGUUGAAUUAUAAAGUUCAUCCGUUGUUCUUUUAUGUACACCUUUAAUUACAUAAUUCUAACAAGCUCUCAAAUAAGUUUACAAAAUAGUAAAUUGAAAUAUUAUGCAGUAAUUUAGGAAUUGUUAUGGUCCCAGCUAAUGGAUUGCAUCACAGGAUGAUUUGUAGUGAGGACUUCAUUAGAGAUAGAGAGAGCUAGAGCUCAAACUCGUUAAUGAGAGAGUCUUAAGUCUCAAUUAUGUUUGUUAAUUUGCUUGCUUUAUCACUCGUGAAUUAACCCCUUAUAUGUAAUAAAGGUUAUACAAUAGCAGAAGGUUUCUAACAAAUUAAAAGACCUAUAAAAUUUGAUAAUAAUUAAAAAGUUUAUCCUAAUCUAAACAUGAUAAUUAGAAAGUUUGUCCAAAUCUAAACAAUAAUAAAGAUUGAUCAUAAUCAUAAAGUUUAUCCUUGUUAAAAUUGAUGAGAUUCUAAGCUACAAUUAAGGGGAAUGUUAUGGAAAGUUGAAUCUAUUUAAUAUAGGAGUUAUAUUUAUAAAUAGAUAAAAUAAUUAUGUCUAUAUGUUCCUAUGAUUAUAGGAUUUGAUAUAUUCCUAUUAUAGUCGGAGAAUCUCUUCAUUUAUAGUAUCAUACCAUAUAUAUCUUAGAUCUUCCAUUAUAAAUAGUAAACCCUUUAUAUUAGUGAGAUAAUCUAAUUCACUAAAGAUGCAACUAAAGAUGUAACCCUUUUGAGGUUUUGCGUCUAUGAAUGUAGGUUCUCAUAACCAAAUCACAUAAAUCUUCUUGUAUUAUUGUCUUCUCUCUCUUCUGGUAUUCUAAAUUUAACAAUCCUAAUCUAAAUAAUAAUUGAUAUUUAUCAGGAAGUUUAUCCUAAUAUAAAUACUAAUAAAGAUAAAAAAGUCCAUCCGUUAUCCAUAAUAUCACUUCCCUCCUAGAGAAAGAGCUUGUCCUCAGGCUCAAAUUCUAGAUAAGCUUGUAUAAAGUGAUAUCAGAGCCAACAAUUUUUUGGUUCUUGAUCCUUUAUUUAAGGAAAUUAGUCGUUAUUGGCUUUGAUUCUUGUAACAAACUAGAUUUAUAGGAAAUAGUUGAUGUAUUUAUUCUAUUCUGAAUGGUGGUAUUUAUACACAUGUACAAGACCUUAAAAAGGAAGAGAUCCUACAUUUAAUCCUAUAAUUGAUCCUAUGAAUCUUCCUAUGAUUAUGCACUCUAUACAAAGUAAGGUAAUUAUCUUGAUUCUCUAUAUUUACAGCUGUAUAUUACAACACCCUCCCUUAAACUGAAGCACAAAUGUUAAUCAUGCUCAAUUUAUUAUAAAGAUACUCUACUUGAUGCCUAUUUAUGCUUUUGUCAAUAAAUUACCUAGUUGUUCUCUUAUCUUCACAGAUUCGGAAGAAAUUAUAUUUUCUUGAAUCUUUUCUCGGAUAAAAUGACAGUCAAUUUCGAUGUGUUUUGUAUGCUCAUGGUAUUAUCAGAUUGGAGGUAAUGUAAAGGAUAACCUGACUAUCACACCACAAUUUUUGUGGGAACGAGACAUCCAAACCAAUCUCUACCAAUAAAUGAUUUAUUUAUAAAAUUUCACUAGUGGAUUAAGCUAUAGCUCUAUAUUCAGAUUCUGCACUGGACCUCGAUACAAUACUUUGCUUCUUUCUUUUCCAAAAUACUAGAUUUCCUCCUACAAAGACUAAGUAACCUGUAGUAGACCUUCUAUCACUUUUUGAUACGACUCAAUCAGCAUCUGAAAAGCACUCAACUGUAGUAUACCUAUGAUCGCUAUAGAGUAUACCAAGUCAAGGGUCCUUUUUAGAUAAUAUAAGAUUUGUUCUAGAGUGAUCUAAUGUUUAACUGUAGGUGCAGACAUAAACUGGCUUACAAUAUUUAAGUGAGAUAAGAUUGUAGCUAGGACUCUUCCUAUUAGUUCGGAGUCUAUUAGUGUUCGUAUUGAUUUAGAAGUCUAUUUUAGAAUUUGCAUUUUAUAUUGAUUAGGAAAACUCUCAUAGCUUGUAUAUAAAUUAUACUCAUUAUGAAUGAAAGAAAAUACAAUUUUCCAAUCAAUUAACAAUAUGUAUGCUCCAAAUUAAGGGAGAGCGUUGAGAUAGAGAUGAGCAGCAAUUAUGUUAUAUAAUUUAGGGUAAGAAUUGUGCAUAGGAGUGAUUGUAUUUCAUAUCCACUUUAAUAGUAUAGAAACCAUUUAGCUUGAGGGAAUAAUCAUGCUUUCUGUUCCCAUUUCUCUUCUACUCUCUCUCUUUAUUUUCUAUUCUUCAAUUAGCAAUUGAACAAGGAAAGCUAAUAAAAACCUUACUGCAUAAAAUUGAUGGAAACUUGGUUUGAAAUUUAAGACAUGGUAGUUCAACUUCUAUCUUAAUCUAAUCAUUUAAAUUCUCAAAAUGAUUUACUUGAAUUUGUGAAUAUUUUCUUAUGGUUGUUGCUUCUUUGCUUCCAUACAUGAACUUUUGGGGUUUAUGGUGUUUAGUUUUUCCUUCUUGACUUGUUACUUGCAGCUUUUCUAGUUUCUCAAAUUUCUUCUUAGGUUUUCUAUUUUUGAUAGUUAGGAGAGGGUUGUCUAAUAUUUACAUGCUUUAGAUGAUAUUCUCCUUUGUUCAUUACUUCUGCUUUUUUAUUUUUUAUUAUUUUUUUUGAUGCAGGACAAUAAAUGCAUAGUUAUUAAUGGGCCCAUGGCGACAACGAUUGUAAUUUUUAGGAGCAUGACUGAUUUUGUUUAUCUAUUGAACAUACUUCUUCAGGUACACAACUUUUUUAGCUGCUUGUAUUAAUCUUUUAUUUUUUUUUUUGGUUUAUUGUCAAUUGAUAAAUUUACAAUGUCAUACUCUGUUUUGCUAAAAAAUCUCAUCAUCCUUCAAUAACCUAGAGGUCAUGCAUUAUUCCAACUUCAUCCAUACUGUAGAAAUAUAAUAUUUAUUAUUAUCUCACAAUAGAGAUUACAACCUAUUUAUACAUGAGAGACAGUAUCUAAACAGGAAGGAAAAUCAAGCCUAUGAUUUUACAAUCUCUAAGAUUAAGCAACUGACCCAUCUAUCAAUAUUUACUUCCUAUAUUAACAUAUUUACUUUCUAUAACUUAUAACACUCCACCUCAAGUUGGAUCAUAAAUGUUAAUCGUGCUCAACUUGUUACAUAUAUAAUCAACUCGAGUCCCAUUCAGAGCUUUAGUGAAAAUAUCUCCUAAUUAUUCUCCAGUUUGAAUAUGUGCUGUUGAUAUUAUCUUUUGUUGGACCUUUUCACGAAUGAAAUGACAAUCAAUCUCGAUAUGUUUAGUCCUCUCGUGAAAUACUGGGUUGGAGGCAAUGUGGAUAGCUGCUUGAUUAUCACAUCACAACUUAGCAAGCACCGAAUUUGUGAACCCAACUUCUUCCAACAGUUGACGUACCCACAAGAUUUCACAAACGGCUUGUGCCAUAGCUCGAUAUUCAGAUUCAGCACUAGAACGGGAGACCACAUUUUGCUUCUUACUUUUCCAUGAGACCAAGUUACCUCCCACAAAAACACAAUACCCAGUAGUUGACCUCCUAUCAACUUUCGAGUCUGCCCAAUCAGUAUCAGAAAAGCAUUCAAUAUUUGAGUGCCCAUAGUUACCAUAGAAUAGGCCUCGCCCUGGGGCCCCCUUAAGGUAACAAAGAAUCUGUCCUAGAGCAUCCCACUGGGCAACAAUAGGAGAAGACAUAAACUGACUUACCACACUCACUGAAUAUGCAAUAUCAGGAUGAGUCACCGCCAAAUAAUUCAGCUUGCCAACUAAUCUUCUAUAUCUUCUAGGAUCUGCAAAUGGCUCACUGUCUUCUGUGGUAAGUUGAAGGUUAGGGGUCAUUAGGGCAUUACAAGGCUUAGCACCCAAUUUUCCUGUUUCUGCCAAUAAAUCAAGAACAUAUUUUCUUUGAGAUAAGAAGAUGCCUUUCUUACACCGCAUAACUUCGAUUCCCAAGAAAUAUUUCAAGGAACCCAAAUCCUUUGUAUGAAACUGUGUUUUAAGAAAUUCUUUUAGGGAUGUGAUGCCAGCAAUGUCACUUCCUGUAAUAACGAUAUCAUCCACAUAUACUACAAGCAGAAUUACUCCACUAUCAGAAUUUCUAUAAAAUACUGAGUGAUCACACUUACUCAUCUUCAUUCCAAACUGUUGGACCACCUCAUUAAACCUGCCGAACCAUGCCCGAGGACUCUGUUUCAAGCCAUAAAGGGAUUUUCGAAGUUUAUAAACCUUACCUGACUCCCCUGAGCAACAAAACCAGGUGGUUGCUCAAUAUAAACCUCCUCCUGAAGUUCACCAUGAAGAAAAUCAUUUUUAAUAUCCAAUUGAUGCAAAGGCCAGUCAUGAGUAGCCGCCAAGGAAAUAAACAAUCGGACAUAUGCAAGCAAGCUUGGCAACUGGAGAGAAUGUAUCAGAAUAGUCAACUCCAUAAGUUUGUGCAUAACCUUUGGCCACUAAAUGGGCCUUGAGGCGAGCAAUAGAUUCAUCAAGGUUUACUUUCACUGCAAACACCCAUUUGCACCCAAUAGCCCGCUUUCCUGGGAGCAAGGACAUCAACUCCCAAGUACCAUUAGUGUCAAGGGCCAUCAUUUCCUCUUCCAUUGCAGCACGCCAACCAGGAUGGGACAAAGGCUCAAUAACAGUUUUGGGAAUUGAAAUAGAAUCUAAAGCAGUGACAAAACAACGAGAAGAGGAGGAUAAUUGAUCAUAAGAGACACAAGAUGAAAUAGGAUAAGUGCAAGUACAUUUAUCUUUGCGAAGAGCAAUAGGCAAAUCCAAAUCAGACAGUGAAGGAUCAGUGGGAGCAGGAUCGGUCGACGAAGAAGCGGGUAGCGGAACGGAGUCAGAGUCCUCUAAGCGUCUAGAAUACACAUGAAAGAUGGGAGGGCGACCUGGCACAUGAGCGAAAGGUGUAGGAGUAGUCUGAGGAGACAGAGAGCAAACAGUGUAUAAUAAGAGGUCAUCUUCCUCCUCCUGGGUGUUAUAAACAGAUGAUGGCGGAAAAAACGGAGUGGACUCAAAGAAUGUUACAUCCGCAGACACAAGAUACUGAUUCAGAUCAGGAGAAAAACAACGAUACCCUUUCUGACGUGGAGAGUAGCUAAGGAAGACAUAUUUGAGUGAUUUGGGAUCCAAUUUAGUAACCUGUGGACGAACAUCACGAACAAAACAAGUACAACCAAAGAUACGUGGCUCAAUAGGAAACUAAGAUUUAGUGGGGAACAAAAUGUUAUAAGGGAUAUCACCAUGAAGGAUGGAGGAAGGCAUGCGAUUGAUCAAAAAACAAGCAGUGGAUACAGCAUCAGCCCAAAAACAUUUAGGUACCUUCAUUUGGAAUAAGAGGGCUCUGGCUACUUCAAGAAGAUGUCGAUUUUUUCUUUCAUCAACUCCAUUUUGUGAAGGAGUGGCAACACAAGAGGACUGAUGAAGAAUCCCUUUUUAUAACAAAUAAGAUUGAAAUUCCCCAGAGAGAUACUCUUUAGCAUUAUCACUUUGCAAUAUACGGAUGGAAGUACUGAAUUGGGUUUGGUUUUCAGCAUAAAAUGCACAAAAAAUAGAAAAUAAUUCUGAACGACUCUUCAUUAAAAAUAACCAAGUAGUACGAGAGAAAUCAUCAACAAAAGUAACAAAAUACUUAAAGCCAGACUUAGACACAACAGGACAAGGACCCCAAACAUCUGAAUGGACUAACUCAAAGGGGGACGAAGCCCGUUUAUUGACUCGAGACAGUGUAGGUAAACGAUGAUGUUUGAUAAAUUGGCAAGACUCACAAUCUAGAAUAGACAAAGAAUGAAACUUUGGGUAUAACUUCUUCAAAGCCGAGAGAGAAGGAUGCCCAAACGACAAUGAACAUCAAAAGGUGUUAAACGCGUGGAGCAUACCAGAGAUCGAGGAGAUCGAGAUAGUUGCUGAUCCAAGACGUAAAGACCCUCUGACUCACUCCCUCUACCAAUAAUCUGCUUCGUCGAAAGAUCCUGAAAAACAUAGUGAUCAGGAAAGAAUGAGACACAACAAUUUAAUGGACGAGUGAGUUUACUCACGGAAAGCAAAUUAAAUGCGAACUUAGGGAGACAUAACACAGAGGAUACAGAAAGAGAAGGGGUUAACUUGACAUGAUCAGAACCCAUGACAUAAGAUUUAGUGCCAUCAGCAAGAGUAAUAUAAGAAGGCGAUGUAUGAGACUCAAGAUUGGACAAAAGAGUAGAAUUACCUGACAUAUGAUCGGUAGCACCAGAAUUAAUAACCUAUUUGGAGGAUGAAGAUACAAGACAUGCAGUAGAGUUAUCUGACUCGGCAAUUGUAGUGAUAGAGGAGGAAUUAGAGGAGUUUAGUGAUGCCUGGUAUUGGAUGAAUUGUGCAUACUCAUCUGCAGAUAUCAAAAUUCCUUGAUCGGAAGAUCCAUUCAAUUUGUGUUCCGUGAUUUUAGUCAUCAUAGGAAUCACAUCAGUUACGGUGGUGGUUUUAACUUCAGCCAUAAGGACAACCAACCCAAAAUGAUAGCAACAAAAGAAACACAGAAUCAGAAAACAGUACCCGGCGUGAACAGUACCACGUGAACAGUAUCGAUGAACAAUACUCGUGAACAGUGCCGAUAAACAGUACUGUGAACAGUACCAGUCAACAGUACCCGAAUAUGAAUAGUACUUAAAACACCUCCACCCAACACCCGAACGACAAAUAAACUUCAGAUCUGACAAGGGGACGGUGUGGCGACUCUAACGACGGUGAGAUCCAAAGUAACCCAAAUGAACAGAGCCCUAAGUCUCCAAAAAAAAAAAAAAACUUGAGAGAGAAAAAAAUUAAAUCUCUACGAACCAGGCUCUGAUACCAUGUAGAAAUAUAAUAUUUGUUAUUAUCUCACAAUAGAGGUUACAACCUAUUUAUACAUGAGAGACAGUAUCUAAACAGGAAGGAAAAUCAAGCUUAUGAUUAUACAAUCCCUAAGAUUAAGCAACUGACCCAUCUAUCAAUAUUUAUUUCCUAUAUUAACAUAUUUACUUUCUAUAACUUAUAACACAUACAAUGUAAUUGUUAAGAGAAUAGUCCAUUUGUUAUUUGGGUUUAGACAACAUAGAAAAUCAACAAAUAGAAGUAUAACUCCCAUAAAAAUAGUUGUGCACUUGAUUCACCGGUUUGGAUAGCUUGGUUUACUAUGUGGAUGGAAUAAUACUAAUGAUUUACCAUGAAAGAAAUUAUAACUUGUUUUAACAAGAUUUUGAUUGUGAACUUCAUGUGUUUGUUAUUGAGCCUGUUAGAAUAUGGGAGAUAAGAUUUGUGAAGUGAAAGCUUGAUCAUUCCCUUAAACUUGGUUGGAAUUUAAAAUAUUAUAGUAUAUACAAAAUAGGAAGCUUACAUGAUUGCACAACUAUGACCUAUUUAUAAUAGUGAAUCAAGGGAUAAACCACAACAUAUCUUUAUGCUUCGCUUCGAUCUGAGCACCUCAAAGAGACUUGGUGAGAAUAUUUGCCAACUAGUCAUUUGAGUUUGUUAAAUCACACAUCGAUUGUGGAAAGUGUAAUGUGCCCCUUAUAUGAGCCAUAGGCACUCCUCCUCCAAGAGCUAGCUUUUGGGGUGAGUUAGGGCUGACUCAAAUUUAACAUGGUAUCAGAGCCGCCCAUCCGAUGUUGGGCCUCCCAUAAAUAUGUCACGCACUAGUAAAAUUCUUGGCGUGAGGGGGUGUGUUGAAUCCUAUAUCAAUUGUGGAAAGGGUAAUGUGCCCCUUAUAUGAGCCAUAGGCACUCCUCCCCCUUGAGCUAGCUUUUGGAGUGAGUUAGGGCUGACCCAAAUUUAACAGAGUUGAUGAAAUUGGUAGGAGUAUAUUGUUUAUUUUUUUAUUCAAUAAAAUGACAAUCUAACUCUACAUGUUUUGUUCUUUCACUAAAUAUGGAUUUGAGGGAAUGUGGAUGGUAGCUUGAUUGUUGCAUAUUAGCUUCAUUUGCUCAACUUCUAUACACAUUUUUUCUUGGAGAAAUUGUUUUAACUUAAUAAGUUCACAAUUAGUUUAGGCCAUAACUUGAUAUUUUGCUUUUGCACUCAAUCUAGAGACUAUACCAUGUUUCUUAUUCUUCUAAGAUAUUAGAUUACCUCUAAUUGUGACACUUAUUCUUCUAAGAUAUUAGAUUACCUCCAAUUUUGGCACUUAUCCUGAAGUGGAUUGCCUAUUUGUAGAUCUUGCUCAAUCCACAUCAAAGUACCUAACAAUUUGUGAUUGACCCUUAUUUUCAUAUGUCAAACUCUGUCAUACAGCUCCUUUGAUAUUCCCUAGGACACGAGUCCUUUGCAUGCCAGUAGCUAUUUCCAUGGUUUUAAAUUGAUCGCGGUCGUGUUUGCUUGAAAUGGAAAUAGGGCUACAACGAUUAUAACAUAAUAAUAAUGAUAGCUCUGCAUCUGAUGAGGGGAAAUAUGAAUAUAUAAUGGAUAUGGAUAUGAAUUUGAGAGGGUACACUUUCAAAUUGGCUCUUGUAGAGAAGUAAUAUUUCUUAUAUAUAUUACAAUAUAGAUUAUAACAUAUUUAUAUAUAAAAAAAUCUAUCUAGAAAGGAAAGAGAAUCCUUUUAUCAAGUCUAUAAUCAUGCAAUUCCUAAGAUCAAGCAACUAAUAAAUUUAUCUAUAUAUACUUCCUAUAUCAACAUAUCUACUUACUAUAACACACCUCCUCAAGUUGGAGCAUAGAUGUUAAUAGAGAUUACAACAUAUUUAUACAUAAAAAACCUAUCUAAAAGAAAAAAGAGAAUCCUUUUAUCAAGCCUAUAAUCAUACAAUUUCUAAGAUCAAGCAAUUAACAAAUCUAUCCAUAAUUACUUCCUAUAUCAACAUAUCUACUUACUAUAACACUCCCCUAAAGUUGGAGCAUGGAUGUUAAUCAUGCCCAACUUGUUAUAUAUGUAGUCAAUUCGAGUCCCAUUUAGAGUUUUAGUGAAUAUAUCCCCUAAUUAUUCUCCAGUUCUGAUAUGUCUUGUUGAGAUUAUCUUUUUUUGGACCUUUUUACGAAUAAAAUAACAUUUGAUCUCGAUAUGUUUAGUCCUCUCAUGAAAUACUGGAUUAGAGGCAAUGUGGAUAGCUGCUUGAUUAUCACACUACAAUAGCAUGCACUGAAUUUGUGAACUCAACCUCGUCUAACAGUUGACGCACCCACAAGACUUCACAUACGGGUUGUGCCACAGCUCGAUAUUCAGAUUCAGCACUAGAACGAGAGACCAUAUUUUGCUUCUUACUUCUCUAUGAGACCAAGUUACCUCUCGAAAAAAUACAAUAUCCAGUAGUUGACCUCCUAUCAACUUUUGAACCUGCUCAAUAAGCAUUAGAAAAACAUUUAAUGUUUGAGUGCCCAUGGUUACUGUUAUAGAUUAUAGGAAGUAAAUAUAUUAAUAUAGGAAGUAAAUAUUGAUAGAUGGGUUAGUUGCUUAAUUUUAGGGAUUGUAUAAUCAUAGACUUGAUUUUCUUUCCUGUUUAGAUACCGUCUUUUAUAUAUAAAUAGGUUGUAAUAUUUAUUAUGAAAUACAACAAUAAAAUAUUGUUAAAUUUGGGCCAGACCAGGUUCGUAGAAAUUUAUUUUUUUCUCUCUCGUCAAGUCUUAAAUUUUUGGAGACUCAGGACUCCUGUUCUUUUGUGUUAUCCAUCUAGGAUAAUAUUUGUCUCUCACUGUUCACCUAAAGAGGAUGUCAAAGUCGCCUUGCAGCUUCCUUGUCAGAUUUGCAGUUCGUUUGCUGUUUGGGUGUUGGGUGGAGGCUUUUUUUGAUACUAUUCAUUUGGGUUACCCAUAAAGAGUAACUUUUGGAGACUUAGGGCUCUGUUUAUUUGGGUUACCCAUAAAAGGGUAACAUUUGGAGACUUAGGGCUCUGUUCAUUUGGGUUACCUAUAAAAGGGUAACAUUUGGAGACCUAGCGUUCUGUUCAUUUGGGUUACUCGUAAAGGGUAACAUUUGGAAACCUAGGGCUCUGUUCAUUUGGGUUACUCGUAAAGGGUAACAUUUGGAGACCUAGGGCUCUGUUCAUUUGGGUUACUCAUAAAGGGUAACAUUUGGAGAGACUUAGGACUCUGUUCAUUUGGGUUACUCACAAAGGGUAACAUUUGGAGAUUUAAGGCUCUGUUCAUUUGGUUAUCCAUAAAGGGUAAUAUUUGGAGAUUUAGGGCUCUGUUCAUCAGGUAUUGUUCACGGGAAUUAUUCAUCGGGUAUUGUUCACGAGUACUGUUCAUCGGGUACUGUUCACGAGUCACGAGUACUGUUCAUCGAGUACUGUUCACAGAUUCGAAAUUCUAUUCACUGUAAGGUGAUUAGUCUUAUUAAUCAUUUUGAAUUUGUUAAAUAAUUAAUGGAGUAUUUAGAAUUUCUAUAUUCUGGCAAAGGGAAUAUUUCUCGUAUUUAUGAUGUGUGUAAGGCGUUUUACCAAGCUGAGAAAAUGUGGUCUCCCGUUCUAGCGCUGAACCUGAAUGUCGAGUCAUGGCAAAAACCGUUUGUGAAGUUUUGUGGGUACGUCAAUUACCGGAAGAAGUUGGGUUCACAAAUUCGGUGUUUGCUAAAUUGUAUGGGACGAGUUGAUUAUAUAUGUAACAAGUUGGGCAUGAUUAACAUUUAUGCUCCAACUUGAGGAGGAGUGUUAUAGAUUAUAGGAAGUAAAUAUAUUAAUAUAAGAAGUAAAUAUUGAUAGAUGGGUUAGUUGCUUAAUUUUAGGGAUUGUAUAAUCAUAGACUUGAUUUUCUUUCCUGUUUAGAUACCUGUCUUUUAUAUAUAAAUAGGUUGUAAUCUUUAUUAUGAAAUACAAUAAUAAAAUAUUAUAUUUUUACAGUUACCAUAGAAGAAGUCACGUCCUGGAGCCCUUUUUAAGUAGCAAAGAAUGUGCACCAACGCAUCCCACUAAGCAAAAGUAGAAGAAGUCAUAAACUGACUCACCACACUCAGUGAAUAUGCAAAUAUCAGGACGAGUUACCGUCAAAGAAUUCAACUUGCCAACUAAUUUUCUAUACAUUUCAGGAGACUUAGAGCUCCAUUUGUACUGUUCUUUUAGGUUACCCAUAUAGGGUGACAUUUAUCUCUCUAUCGCCCACCCAGGAAGGACGCCGGAGAGCCGGCGACAUUGUCCUAAAGAGCUGCUGAAACAGCCCGGCCCAAUCUGGCCCAAAUAACUUUUGGACCCACUUUCCACUUGGCCCAAAAUGGUUAACCCAAGUUAUUUAGUAGUUUCAUGCUAGCUAUGAUGUACAAUUCAGAAUUACCGUAAUUUCCCAAUGUGGGAAGCGGUAUAAGCUGGCAGCUCAAACAAGCAAUUGAUUCUUACACUCUCCCUACUAAAUUUGCGAUGUCCUCGUUGCAACUGAAUCGAAUACAAUUGCUAAUCAGGGUCGGACCCUUGGGUAUUGUGGUUCGCUAGUACCUCAGGCGGCUCCACCUCGUCUCUCAUGGGUAGCCCUUUCCUCGCAGGUCCACUAGCCUCGCACAAUUUGUCUGAUCCAGGGUGGCUCUAAUACCAAUUGAAAUAGUCCAGCCCAAACUGGUCGAACGCGAUACAGGCUGGCAGCUCAAGCAAGCAGCUGAUUCUUACAGCUGCGGUUGUCUGACCGGCGAGUGGCCUUCACGCCCCACCACAAGUUUCUAACACUGUCCCACUCGCCAGCACGUGAAGACGCGUCGCGUGUCCAUUUUUGCUCUAGUCACCAUCACCAGAUCGCCUCAAAGUACUCUCUUCAGUUCUGUGGUCAGUAUGCCGUUUGGGUGUUUUAUGGAGGUAUUUUUGGUUUGGAUUGCAUUUUUGGAUACUGUUCACAUCACUCUGGUACUGUUCACAUCCCUUUUUAUUUUUUCCUGUGCCUUAUAUUGCCAUUGCUUUGGGUGGGUUGUUCUCGUGGCUGAAAUUAAGAACACCAUAGCUGAUGUGAUUCUUAUAAUGACUAAAAUCACGGAACACAAAUUAAAUGGAUCUAAUUUUCUGGAUUGGAGUAAGACUAUCCGUAUGUAUUUACGAAGUAUCAGAAUGGACGAUCAUUUAACCAAGGAUCCUCCAAUUGAUGACACUAGGAAAGAUUGGAUGAGUGAUGAAGCUUUAUUAUUUUUGUAGAUUCGAAAUUCCAUUCAUAGUGAGGUAAUCAAUCUUAUUAAUCACUAUGAAUUUGUUAAAGAAUUAAUAGAUUAUUUAGAGUUUUCAUACUCUGGCAAAUAGAAUAUUUCUCGCAUUUAUGAUGUGUGAGGUGUUUUAUAGAGUUGAGGAACAAGAUAGAACUUUGACUUCAUAUUUUAUGGAUUUUAAAAAAGUGUAUGAGGAACUUAAUGGCUUGAUGCCUUUUAACACAGAUGUGAAAACUCAACAAGCUUUACAAGAGCAAAUGGUUGUUAUGAAUUUCCUUGUAGGUCUCCCUCCAGAGUUUGAGACAGCUAAAUCUCAGAUUCUUUCUGACUUUGAAAUAUCAUCGUUAUAUGAUAUUUUCACUAGGAUGUUGCGUAUAAAAUCUUCCUCUCCAGUUCCUUCACACACCACUAGUGCCCUUGUUAGCCACAAUGACAAUGGUAGACAGGAUAACAGUGGUGGGAACAGUGGAGGUUUUAAUGGUGGUAGAGAAUCUCAGCGUCCUGGGAAAGCAGUUUCUACUUCUGACUCUAGUAGAAUCAUUUGUUAUUAUUGCUGUGAACCUGGAUACACUAAGAAGACAUACUUGAAACUUCAGAAUAAGAAUCAACACUCACAAAUGGCGCACAUGGCAGUUGAGGCCUCUUCUGAUCGUUCUGAUCAGGGAAUUUUGAUACCUGCAGAUCAAUAUGCACAAUUCACUUAAUACUAGACAUCUCUGAAAUCCUCUAAUUCUCUUCUCACUGCAAUUGCUGAGUCAAGUAACUCUACUGCAUGCCUCGUGUUUUCAUCCUCAAAAUAGGUUAUUGAUUCUGGUGCUAUCAAUCAUAUGUCAGGUAAUUCUACCUUUUUGUCCAAUCUUAAGUUUCACACAUCGUCUUAUUAUGUUACUCUUGCUGAUGACUCUAAAUCUUCUGUCAUGAGUUCUGGGCAUGUCUUUUUAAGUUCUCCUUUAAUUUGCUUUCUGUUGGUGAACUCACUCAUGUACUAAAUUAUUGUGUCUCAUUCUUUCUUGAUCGUUUUCAAGAUUUUUCGACGAAGCAAAUUCAGUCCCCAAAACUGUUAUUUAGGCUUUAUCCCAAAACUGUUAUUGGGAGUUGGUGUCCUUGCCCCUAGGAAAGCAGGCUAUUAGGUGUAAAUGAGUGUUUGCGGUGAAAGUAAACCUCGAGGCCCAUUUAGUGACCAAAGGUUAUGUUCAAACUUAUGGAGUUGACUAUUCUGAUACAUUCUCUCCAGUUGCCAAGCUUGCAUUUGUUCGAUUGUUUAUUUCUUUGGCAGUUACACAUAAUUGGUUUUUGCAUUAACUGGAUAUUAAAAAUGCUUUUCUCUAUGGUGACCUUCAAGAGGAAGUUUAUAUUGAGCAACCACCUAGUUUUUUGCUUAGAGGGAGUUAGGUAAGGUUUGUAGACUUUGAAAUUCGUUUUAUGGCUUGAAACAGAGUUCUCGGACAUGGUUUAACAGGUUUAGUGAGGUGGUCCAACAAUUUGGAAUGAAGAUGAGUAAGUGUGAUCACUCAUUGUUUUAUAGAAAUUUAAUAGUAGAGUAAUUCUUCUUGUAGUAUAUAUGGAUGAUAUUGUUAUCACAGGAAGUGAUGUUGGCAUUACAUCUCUAAAGAAUUUCUCAAAACAUAGUUUCAUACAAAGGAUUUGAGCUUCUUGAAAUAUUUUUUGGGCAUUGAAGUUAUGCGGUGUAAGAAAGACAUUUUCUUAUCUCAAAGGAAAUAUGUUCUUGGUUUAUUGACGAAAAUAGGAAAAUUGGGUGCUAAGCCUUAUAGUGCACUAAUGACCCCUAAUCUUCAACUUACCACAGAAGACAAUGAGCCAUUUGCAGAUCCUGCAAUGUAUAGAAGAUUAGUUGGCAAGAUGAAUUAUUUGACGGUGACUCGUCCUGAUAUUGCAUAUUCAGUGAGUGUGUGAGUCAAUUUAUGGCUUCUCCUAUUGUUGCUCAGUGGGAUGCUCUGGAACAGAUUCUUUGCUACUUGAAAGGGGCUCUAGGACGUGGCCUCUUCUAUGGUAACUAUGGGCACACAAACAUUGAAUGUUUUGCUGAUGUUGAUUGGGCAGGUUCAAAGGUUGAUAGGAGGUCAACCACUGGAAUUGUGGGAGGUAACCUGGUCUCAUGGAAAAGCAAGAAGCAAAAUAUGGUCUCUCGUUCCAGUGCUGAAUCUGAAUAUCGAGCUAUGGCACAAGUUGUAUGUGCAGUCUUGUGGGCGCAUUAACUGUCGGAAGCGAUUGGAUUCACAAAUUCGGUGUCUGCUAAUUGUGUGAUAAUCAAGUAGCUACCCAUAUUGUCUCUAAUCCUGUAAUUCAUGAGAGGACCAAAUAUAUUGAGAUUGACUUUCAUUUUGUUUGUGAAAAUGUCCAAUAAAAGAUAAUCUCAAUAGGACAUAUCAGAACUUGAGAAUAAUUAGGAGAUACCUUCACUAAAGCUUUAAAGGGGACUCGAGUUGAUUACAUAUGUAACAAGUUGAGCAUGAUUAAUAUCUAUGCUCCAACUUGAGGGGAGUGUUAUAGGAAGUAAAUAUUGAUAGAUGUGUUAGUUGCUUAAUCUUAGGGAUUGCAUGAUCAUAGACUUAAUUCCUUUUCCUUUCUAGAUAAAGUUUUCAUGUAUAAAUAUGUUGUAAUCUCUAUUGUAAGUAUUAAAUUUGGGCGUGAAGGGGUGUGUUGAAUCCCACAUCGGCUGUGGAAAGGAGUAAUGUGCUCCUUAUAUGGGUCAUAGGCACUCCUCCCCCUUGAACUAGCUUUUGGGGUGAGUUAGGCCUGUCCCAAAUUUAACGGUAAUAUACAUAACAAAUAUUACCUUUCUACACAUAUCAAAAACUUGGGUCAGCUUAAGUAUUUUUUAAGAGUCAAAGUCUUGAGGAGUAAAAAAGAAAUUUUACUGUUUCAAAGGAAGUAUAUCCUUGACUUGCAGAAACUGGGAAGAUAGGAGCUAAAUCGUGUAGCACACUAAUUAUUCUUAAUAUAUGUCUCACAAAAUAUGACGGAGACCCUUACGAUGAUCAGAGAGGUACAGGAGGUUGGUUGGAAAGCGAACUACCUUAUGGUGAUAACUCGGUCAGAUAUUGUUUUUGUAGUAAGCGUUGUAAGCCAGUUCAUGUAUGCACCUACGGUAAAAUAUUAGGCCGCUCUAUGUUAUCUAAAAGGGACCUUUAGACUCGAUAUACUCUACAGUGAUUAUGGGCAUACUGCACUUAAGUGUUUUUCUGAUGUUGAUUGGGUGGGAUCCAAAAGUGAUAGAAGGUUAACUACAGACUACUGUGUGUUUAUUAGAGGAAACCUAGUAUCUUGGAAAAGUAAGAAGCAAAAUGUGAAAUCCAGAUCUAGUGUCAAGUCAGAAUAUAGGGUCAUGGCUCAAUCCACUUGUGGGAUUGUGUGAAUAAAUUAUCUGUUGAAAAAAGUUGAUAUGGAUGUAGCAUCACUCACGAAACUUAGCGUGAUAAUCAGGUUGCUCUUUACAUUACUUCUAAUCCAUUAUACUACGAACGAACUAAGCAUAUUGAAGUUGAUUGCCAUUUCAUCCAUGAGAAAAUUCAAGAAAAUUUAAUCUCUACCAGUUAUGUGAAGACAACAAGAGAGCGACUGGGUGAUCUACUCACCAAAACUUUAAAUGGGCCUCGAAUAUAGUAUCUUUCUAAUAAGUUGGACAUGAUAAACAUCUAUACUCCAACUUGAGGGGAGUGUUAAAGUGCGAAUAUAAAUUGUACAUAAUUAAAAGAGAUUACAUAAUCAUAAGCUAAUUGAUAUUAAUUGAUUGAUACAUGAUUUUUAAGAGUCGCCUUAAUAAGACCUUAUAAUUUGUACGUAAACACACUUCAAUAGAAAAAAAAACGCAGAAAUUACCCAAUUAUUUAUUGUCUUGUUACAAUUGUUAAAGGGCUAUUAGAUGUAAAAGGCCAAAAUUUUAUGUUUAAUUAUAAUUACAGUUAAAACUUUUAAUUUUGAAUGACAAAAUUCUACAUAUUAAAUUUAUUGCAAUUUUAGCUAAUCCUUAAACUAAUUUGUUAAAUUGGGCAUAAAAGUCUAUACCUAUACUUUUAAUCACAAUUAAAAGGUCGGAGUACAAACUUGAAAGUUUUUGGCAAUAAUCGUGAUUAAAAUUUAAGGUUUACACACUUUUUUGUCCAAUUGGAUAAUUUCUUUUAGGGAUUGGCUAUAAUUGCAGCAAAUUUGGAAAGUACGGCUUUCUCAUCCAAAAAUGAAAGUUUUGACCAUUGUAAAGUUUCGCCUUUUAUGUUCAAUAAGCCUAUUUUUAACUAUGCUAUAAAUCUAGUUGACCGACUCUAUGGACCCAUAUCAUUAAUUAUAAUUAUCUCAAAUGCAGUUGUUGCGAUUAAUAUUUCUUUGAAAAAUUGUUUCCAUGUUAUAUGAAUGUUCAUCUAUACAAUAUUUGAUUAUUGUCCAUAUAUUGUUAAAACUUAUUGAACUGGAUGCCUUAGUGCUAUUAAAUAGUAAUUUUUAUUUAUUAAAGAAAUCAAUUGCAUAAUAUUCAUUUUAUUUUAUCUUUUUUGUAGUUUAGGUUGGCUUAUGUAGCUCCUGAGUCUAGAGUAGUUGGUGCUGGAGAAUUAGUUGACCAUCCAAAGAAAAUUGCUCUGAACUACCUCCGUGGAUAUUUUUCUUUCGACUUGUUGGUUGCAUUGCCGCUUCCUCAGGUACGUUCAUUUCUUUUUGCAUCUUGCGUGGUGACUAGUUGAUGCUUCUCCUUCUUCAUCAUCUUUUUCUUCUUCUUCUCUCUCCCCCUGUUCUUUUUUAUCCAUUAACUUUAUGGUUAAAAUUCUUGCAUCUUUAUGCUGCCUCGUAAUGAUAAUCAUGUGCAGAUUAUUAUAUUAUUUAUCCUACCACGUUCAUUGGGAUCAUCAGGAGCAAAUUAUGCCAAAAACCUUUUAAGGUUAGCGGUGCUUGUCCAAUACAUUCCCAGAUUGUAUAGGUUUUUACCUCUUCUUGUUGGUGUCUCUCCUAGUGGCUUCAUAUUUGAGACAGCAUGGGCAAACUUUUUCAUAAAUCUUCUCACCUUUAUGAUGGCUGGCCACGUUGUUGGAUCAUGUUGGUACCUCUUUGGGUUGCAGGUGGGCAAAAGGCCUUAUAAUGUCCAAAUAUGCAUUCUUAUUGAGCUUUUAUUUCUUUAUAUAUAUAUAUAUAUGCAUAUAUAUCGCCUAUUUCACAGUCUUAAAUAUUUUAUAUAAGCGUUGAUACCCUUGUUAUUCAUUGGUUCAUUUUUCAUUGCUGUAUAUUGUAACAAGACAAUUGUUGUAGGAAGUAAAUAUAUUAAUAUAGGAAGUAAAUAUGGAUAGAUUUGUUAGCUAUUUGAUCUUAGAAAUUGCAUGAUUAUAGGCUUUGUUGAGAUACUUUCUGUAAAUAACCUAGAUUUGUAGUAAUUGUGUGCAUAAUUAGGUGCUUAGUUUAUGUGAUAUAAUUGAGAUAUGAUUAGGCUAUAAUUAGGGAAUUGAUUUAUGUUGACUUAUUUGCUGAUUCUAGUGAUAUGAUUCGAUUUGAUUACGAAUUCUAGGCAUAAAUUAGAAUCCUUAAUUAUCUCUGUAAUUAUUCUUUAAUUAUUUGCUUUCUGUUUAGUUGUAAUUCUCUGUGUAUAAAUAGUCAUGUCAAUCACCGGUAUAGAUCAAGAGUGAAAUACAAGAAUACUUUAAAAUUUUCCAAAAUUCUUUAUGAUAUCUGAUUUUAGGGAUUAAAUUCAAUUUUUCCUUUUUAGGAUUUCAAAACCCUAAAUCUACCAUUUUCGUACUACCCUAUCUAGAAACCUUUCCACCUCUCACCACUGGCACCACAUCGCCAGCCCAACCACCUAGCUUCGACCCUGGAAAGUCCUGCACGUGAGGCUCAUGCACCCUCCCUUCCCGGAGCGUGAGACAUCAUUCGACGCUGCUUCACUGCUUUGAUCACUCCGGCGCCGAUUUCGAUCGUCUUUCCGGCCUUCCCAUGCCGCUACUUGGUUUUUUAGUGAUUCAGUUGGGCUAUUUUGUGUGUACAAUCUUGUGUACCUCCUAUUCUUUCACGGUUCAUUUGUUUUUAUCAUGGCAGAAGGUAAAAGAGUCUCGAUUCCUAACUAUGAUAAUCCUUCCUUGCAAAUUAGUCCCGUAAAACUUGAUGGAACCAAUUAUCUUGCUUGGUCAAAGUCUUGUUUGUUGUUUAUCAAAGUUAGAGGACUGCAGGCUGAUGAAUCCCACAUUGGUUGUGGAAAGGGUAAUGUGCCCUUUAUAUGGGCCAUAGGCACUCCUCCCCCUUGAGCUAGCUUUGGGGUGAGUUAGGCCUGAUCCAAAUUUAACAUGGUAUCAGAGCCUCCCAUCCGAUGUUGGGCCUCUCAUAAAUAUGUCACGCACCAGUAAAAAUUCUGGCGUGAGGAGGGUGUGUUGAAUCCCACAUUGGUUGUGGAAAGGAGUAAUGUGCCCCUUAUAUGGGCCAUAGGCACUCCUUCCCCUUGAGCUAGCUUUUGGGGUUAGACCUGAUCCAAAUUUAACAUGAUAUCAGAGCCUCCCCAUCCGAUGUUGGGCCUUCCAUAAAUAUGUCACGCAACAGUAAAAAUUUUAGGCGUGAGGGGGUGUGUUGAAUCCCACAUCGGUUGUUGAAAGGGGUAAUGUGCCCCUUAUAUGGGCCAUAGGCACUCCUCCCCCUUGAGCUAGCUUUUGGGGUGAGUUAGGCCUAACCCAAAUUUAACACAGGCUAUGUCAUCGGUAAUAAGAAGUAACCGGAUGAGAGUGAUCCAGAUUUUUCUCAAUGGGACUUAGAUAAUUGCUUUGUUAUGACAUGGUUAUUUAACUCUAUGCAACCUCAUUUCUCUAAGUCCUAUUUGUUAAUUGACACUACUGUAAAAAUAUGGAAGGUUGUGUCCUUAACUUGUUCUAAGAUUGGGAAUGAUGCCCAAAUUUAUGAUAUUCAGAAUAAGAUCCAUAGUACUAAGCAAAGAGAAAUGACUGUCUUCUAAUUUUAUUCGGAGUUAUGUGGCUUAUGGUAGGAGCUUGAUUACUAUUAGGACUUCCAGACAGACUCUACUGGAGAUGCAGUCAAAUUUCGAAUAAUGAUUAAAAAGGAAUGGGUCUAUGAUUUUCUUGCAGGGUUGAAUAACGAAUAUGAUUCAAUUCGGGUCCAAGUGUUGUGGAAAAAUCCUUUUCCUUCUCUAGAAGAGGCCCAUGCCCAUGUUAAAUAAGAGAAAAGUCUCCGACAUGCUAUACUCUAUACUGCACCAGUUGAAAAGGCUAGGUUGGCUACUAGUUUGAGUACACUGCAGUCUCCUAAUUCUUAAAAAAUCACUUGCAUUGUGACUAUUGUAGGAAACUGAGGCAUACCAAGGAGACUUGCUGGAAGUUACAUGGUCAUCUCACUGGAGGCCGUGGAGAAACGAGUUACCUCUGGAGCUCAAGCUAAUUUAGUAGAAACUGUGGAUGAACCCUUUAAGGAGACAACAACUACUAAGUUUCUUUUCCUUAAUGAAAUUCAGAGUCUCAAGCGCCUCAUGUCUCAUAUUGACACCUCUUCCUCCUCUGGUACCACAUCUAACUUUGUAAAGUCAAGUAGUGCUUCUUCUCUUGAUACUAUUCCAUGGAUUAUUGAUUUUGGUACGAAUAGACAUAUGACAGACUCUUUUAAAGGUUUUCUCAAUUAUUUUCCUUUUCUAGCCAAAUAUAGUGUUGAAAUUGCUGACGACUCUUUUACUCUCAUAUCCGAGACAAGUUUUGUUAUUUGUGCACCCACUAUUAAAUAAUUAUUUGUCCUUUGAAACCUUUGAUGAAAAGAAGAAAAAGAGAGCAAAAGAUUUGAGAGAAAAUACUUGAUUAUUCCUCUCAAAGCAAUUGGGGUAUAUAUACUACUUAUAAGAGUACAUACUAGGUAAAAAAAUAAAAUAAUUUCCUAAUUAUAGCCUAAUCAUAUUCCAAUCAUAUCACAUAAUCAUAUCCCUAAUUAUCAGUACAAAUCUAGGCUAUUUACAGAAAUAAUCUCAACAGUCCCCUUUAAGCUGGAGCGUAUAUAUCAUAUGCUCCAAGCUUGUUACAAAUAUACUCGAUUCGUGGUCCUCGAAGUGAUUUUGUGAAAACAUCAGCUAGCUGAUCAUUUGAGUUGACAAAGCUAGUAAAAAUGCAUCCGGACUUAAUCUUUUGCCUAAUAAAAUGGCAAUCCACGCUAUAUGCUUUGUCCUCUCAUGAAAAACUGGAUUUGAUGCAAUAUGGAGGGCAGCUUGAUUAUCACAUAUCAAUUUCAUUUGGUCAAUAUCGCUAUAUUUCAAUUCUUAAAGGAGCGGCUUCAUCCAGAUGAGUUCGCAUGUUGCUAAAGCCAUAGCUCGAUAUUCUACUCCUGCACUUGAUCUUGCAACCACACUUUACUUUUUACUUUUCCAGGAUAUGAGAUUCCCUCCAAUCAUAAUAUAAUAUCCUGAAGUAGAUCGUCUAUCUGAAAGGGAACCUGCCCAAUCUACAUCAGAAUAGCCAAUAAUUUGUGAGUGACCCUUGUCCUCAUAGAGUAGACCUUGUCCUGGAGCUCUUUUGAUAUCUAAGAAUGCGAAUGACUGCAUCCCAGUGACUACUGUAUGGAGUUUGAAGAAAUUGACUAACCACACUUACAGCAAAGGAAAUAUCUGGUCGUGUGAUAGUGAGAUAAUUGAGCUUGCCGAUUAAUCUUCUGUAUCUAGCAGGAUCUUUAAGUGGCUCUCCCUGUUCAGGAACAAGCUUAACAUUUGGAUCCAUGGGAGUGUCCGCAUGUCUACAGUCUAAUAUGCCUGUUUCUUCCAAUAUAUCCAAAGCAUAUUUCCGUUGAGAAAUUGCAAUACCUGUCUUAGACUGUGCCACUUCAAUUCCCAAGAAAUAUUUCAGUUUCCCCAUAUUUUUAGUUUGGAAAUGACUGAACAAAUGUUGCUUAAGCUGAGAGAUUCCAUCAUGAUCAUUUCCUGUAAUAACAAUAUCAUCAACAUAGACUACCAAGUAGAUGCAUCUAUCACCAUUAUAACGAAAAAAUACGGAAUGAUCAGAAUUACUUUGAGACAUUCCAAACUGUUGAACUACAGUGCUAAAUCGUCCAAACCAUGCUUUUGGAGACUGUUUUAGCCCAUACAAAGAGCGCCGAAGACGACAUACUAAGCCUGACUCCCCUUGAGCAACAAAUCCUGGAGGUUGCCCCAUAUAAACUUCUUUAGCGAGCUCUCCAUGAAGAAAGGCAUUUUUAAUGUCCAGUUGACGCAGGGUACAGUGAUUAAUUGCAGCCAAUGAGAUAAGGAGGCGAACAAAAGCUAUUUUGGCAGGAGAGAAAGUAUCACUGUAAUCAAGCCCAAAAAUCUGCGCGUAACCUUUAGCUACAAGGCGAGCUUUAAGGCGAUCAAUUUUGCCAUCAGGUCCCACCUUAACUGUGUAAACCCAUCGACAACCAACAGUAGACUUACCAGGUGGUAAGGAUACCAAUUCCCAAGUUCUAUUGUUAUGCAGAGUAGUCAUUUCCUCAACUAUGGCAUUACACCAACCAGGAUGAUCCAAUGCUUCUCUAACUGUCUUGGGUAUGGAGACAGCAGACACAACAGAGACAAAAGUACAAUAGAAAGGAGACAAACGAUGGUAACUCACAAAAUUAUAAAUGGGAUGAGGAUUUCGGGAAGAGCGAAUACCUUUUCGAAGAGCAAGAGGAGUAGCUGCUGUUGUUGAAGGCAUGACCGAAGUAGGUGAUGACGGAACGGGAGGGGAGUCAUUAGAAGUACCUGCAUUAGGGAGAGAAAUGUCAUUGUUAUUAGCAGAUGGGUGAGACCGAUGUGUAUAGACCUGAAGAGGUGGCAUAGGAAUGGGAGAUGGACACACUUGCGGCAAAGAAGGAAUAGGAGUUAGAAGUACAGGCAAAGCGCUAGGGACAAAAGUUGUGUGUUGGACUAGAAGAAAAGUAAGGAGAGACUUCAAAAGAGGUGACAUCUGCAGACACAAAAUAUCUGUUAGUAGUAGGGUCAUAGCAUUUGUAACCUUUUUGAAGCCGUGAAUAGCUGAGAAAGACACAUUUAAUUGAUUUGGGUUGGAGUUUGUCUUUGCCAAGAGUAUGAUCAUGAACAAAGCAUAUACAUCCGAAAAUACGCAGAGACAACUGGGUGGAAUUCUGGUUAGAAAAUAGGACAGAAUAAGGACUUUGAUGCUGCAAAAUAGAGAAAGGCAUUCGGUUAAUCAAGUAACAGGCAGUGAGGAUAGCUUCCCCCAAAAACGCAACGGAAUAUUGUGAUGUAGGAGUAAAGUGCGGGCUGUUUCAAUUAAAUGCCGAUUUUUCCGCUUAGCAACUCCAUUUUGUUGUGGGGUAUAAGAGCAAGAAGUUUGGUGAAUAAUACCCUGAGUAGACAAGAAAUGAGUGAAUGAGGAAGACAAAUAUUCUCUUGCAUUAUCAUUUCGCAGUAUCUUAAUGCGAACACCAAAUUGAUUCUAGAUUUCAGCAUAAAACUUUUGAAAAAUAGGAAACAAAUCAGAACGAUUCUUCAUCAGAAAAAGCCAAGUGCAACGAAAAUAGUUAUCAAUAAAGGUAACAAAAUAUUGAAAUCCCAGAGUUGUACUAAUCCGACUUGAACCCCAAAUAUCUGAAUGAACAAUGUCAAACAUGGAAUUGGCCCUAUUAUUGAUUCGCUUGGGAAAAGAAGCUCGAGUUUGUUUUUCGAGUUGACAAGACUAGCAUUCUAAAGAAGGCAAGGAAUAGAGUCUAGGAACUAGUUUUUCUAACUUGUUCAGACUUGGAUGUCCGCAACGACUAUGAAUGAGUUCAGCGGAGGUGGAAGACAUAAAAGCAAUUGGAGAGUUAGAAGUGAAAAAAUAGUACAAUCCUUAUGACUCAUAUCCUGCUCCAAUCAUAUUUCCGGUACUCCGGUCCUGCAUAACCACAGAUUCAGUAGUAAAGAUGACUGAACAGUGAAGAUCUUUAGUUAAUUUGCUAACAGAGAUUAGGUUGUAUGGACAGUCAGGGGUAAAUAAAACAUUAGUCAAGGGGAUCGAAGGAAGAGGAUAUACGUUACCGAUCCCUUUAACUUGAGUUUGUGAAUCAUUAGCUAAUGUGACUUUAGAUGGUGUGGAGGGUGAAACAAGAGUAGAAAAAAGAGAGGGAUUAUCAGAGAUAUGAUCAGAAGCACCAGAGUCGAGGAUCCAUGAACCAAUGGGUAAAGACCUGGUUAGAUAAGUAAAAGAAUUACUAGAAUGGGCAAUAUUUGAUUGGGCCAUGGAGACUGAAUCUGAAUCUGCCAAAAAAGAAGGAUCUGCGCCUAUAAACAGUAAAUCCGACGUUAGAUGGGCUCGGCAAGCGAUCGGACCUACUGGGUUAGAGUUGCUGGCGCUGGGCGAUGCUGGAAGAGUCGCCGGUGUGAAACAGUUGCCGGAAGAUGGUGCACACGCCCGUGCGUGAAGGCGGGCUGAACAGGCGACUGGACCUGCUCGGCUGGAGUUGCCGGCGCUGGGCGAUGCUGGAGGAAGAAUCGCCGGCGUGAAAUGGUCACCGGAAGAUGGUGUACGCGUCGGCGUGUGGUCAGAGACAGGCUGCUUGGGGUGGUGUGUGGGGCCGGAUCUGGAGGCGGCGCUUCACCGGAAAGCAGAUCGGAAGCCUGCGUGGAGAAUGGGCUGCGCGUGGCUGGAGAUAGGCUGCUUGGGGUGGCGCGUGGGGCCGGAUCUGGAGACGGUGCUUCACCGGAAAGCAGAUCGGAAGCCAGUGUGGAGAAUGGGCUGGGUGUUGAGACUAACUGAUUUCCAGAAAGUCAUCAAAGCAAGGUGGCAGAUCUGCCACUCAAAGGUGAACCAAGUUUCUUGGCUCUGAUACUAUGAAACCUUUGAUGAAAAGAAGAAAAUGAGAGCAGAAGAUUUGAGAGAAAAUACUUGAUUAUUCCCCUUAAGCCAAUUGGGGUAUAUAUACUACUUACAAGAGUACAUACUAGGUAAAAAAAUAAAUUAAUUUCCUAAUUAUAGCCUAAUCAUGUCAUACAAUCAUAUCCCUAAUUAUUAGUACAAAUCUAGGCUAUAUACAGAAAUAAUCUCAACAUCCUUCACGUUCUCCAUUUUUCUGUCAUCAAUGCUCUUAACUGUAAAAUUAGACCCGGUCAUUGUGUAAAAUUGAGUUCUUUACUGACCAUUGAAUCUUCUCAUAGGGAAGAGGAUUGAUAAUGGUAGAUUGCAUGAUAGCUUAUACAUGUUGAAGGUGAUCUAGUGUUAACCAACAUAGAAAGUUUCUAAUUAGGAGGAUUCAGAUCUUUGCGAUCCUAAUUAGGCUUGAUUAUAGAUAUUUUAUUCUUGUAAUAAGAUACGAAAUAACUGGGCAAUUUCAAUAUAUUUCUCCAUUGAAGUAAGUGUGUAUAUAUACAGAUUACAAAACCUUAUUAAGGCAACUCCUAAGAAUCCUCUAUCAAUCAAUUGGCCUAUAAUUCUGUAAUCUCCUAUGAUUAUAUACAGAUUUUGUUCACACUCUAAUAAUUAUUAUUGUAAAUAUUCAUAAUUUAGGUUGAUUCUUAGUAUAUAUCAAAAUAGAAUAAACAAUUCCUUUCAAAUUCUUUAUGGUAUCAGCGCCUAGUUCUCAGAUUUGUAGCUCCUUUGGUCUGUUGGUUUAAAAUUUUUCGGUAGCUUGAGUCUCAAAUCUGCCAUCUCUAAAUCACCCGUUUAGGAUGAGUUGUUUGUAUCACCACCCCUACAAAUCAAAAUCGCAGCACAAGAUCGGCAUCAUGUCCAAGUUCGGCGACCAGAUGAAGCGCAUGUAGCCCACAUGCGCCUUCCUCUCUCUUCGCUCCGACUCCACGCGCCAGCACGUGUGUCCUUUUCACGCGAGAUCAGGCGACUCCCUCUCCUCUUCUGGCAUCGAUUCGGCCUGGGUAUUGCAAGCUUGGGUGAUGUUUUGAGGUUUGGUACUCCAUUUAAGGUGAUUAGCCUUAGUAGAUUUGGAUUUGGCUUUAGCUACUGUUUGGGCGUUCUGCCACUUGGCAAUUCUGUCUCUUGAUCUACUAAUUCCAUUGGUUUUUUUUGUUGGUCUUUUAAAUUUGUUUCGAUGGUUUUUUCCGGCAGUGAUUCUUUUCGGCAUACUAGUCAUCAAGUCGCGGCUUUGAUUUGCCUGAUCUUCCACUGUUUUUGACAGAAAAGUUUUUUUUUUUUUUGAAAUGGCAGCGACUUGUGUGGGUAAUAUAAGGACUUUUGAUAGUGGUUUUGUUUUGUUUUUUGGUUCUGCUCCGUGGAUUAUUGAUUCUGGUGCAAAUAGACAUAUGACGGACUUCUCUGAAAGCUUCCUUAAUUAUCUUCCAUGUCUAUAAAAAGACACUGUCAGAAUUGCAGACGGUGUUUUGAGUUUAGUUCAUGUGACUUCUACCGGCCAACUUGCUGAUGUGUUUACUAAAGGACUCAACAAUAGAACGUACCAUAAUCUGAUUUGCAAGUUGAGUAUGUGUGACAUCUAUGUACCAACUUGAGGGAAAGUGUUGACUUAUUUGCCGAUUACUAGUGAUAUAGUUUGAUUGAUUAUGGAUUCUAGGUAUAAAUUAGAAUCUUUAAUUAUCUCUAUAAUUAUUUUGAUUAUUUGCUUCCUGUUUAAUCGUAAUUCUUUAUGUAUAAAUAAUAAUGUAAAUCACUUGUAAAGAUUAAGAGAGAAAUACAAGAAUACUCUAAAAUUCUCCAAAAUUCUUCAGGUUCCUAUAAUAUCUAUUCUUUUUUGGUUCCAGUACAGUUCUUCAGUUUCGGUAUGAGACCCCCAAGAAUCAUGCAUAAUCCAAAUGCUAAUGUUGAAACAAACUGAACUUUUUGAAAAUUUGUACCUCUUAAACUUGUCAAUGUCAAUAUAAUUUUUAUUGUGUAAUUUGAGAGCUUGAAUGUUAUGUGAAUGUUGAAAUAUUCGUUUGAUAUACCUUGAGGACAAUAAAAUAGGUGCCAAGUCAUUUAGGAUUCAAUUUCAUGAUAUUUUAAAUGUCUUCUUGAGUUCUUUCUGGAAUCUUGGAAUGUUUUUUUUGUGUUAGGCAUUUUGCUUGUUUUCUGAUAUUUAUGUUCUUAGUUUGUGGGAGAAAAUUCUGAAUGUAUUUUUAUUAGUAAUAAUACAAAUAUACAAUCCUUAAGUGAUAGUUUUUAAAUAAUUUAUUCUCAAUUAAUCCUCUCACUUAUUUUUGUAGCAGAGGGUUAAUCAAUGCCUUCGUGAUGCCUGCCAUCAGUCUAGUAUUAAGGAAGUGUGUAUGAGUUUCAUAGAUUGUGGGCAUGGGGAUAAGCAUGCAGAACUUGGUUCCGACCAAACUUGGUUGAAUUGGACAACAAAUGCCAAUGCCACUGCUUGUUUUACUCAAGAUGGUUUUCCAUACGGAAUCUAUGUCCAAGCUGUUAACCUCACAUCAUCAAAGAAUAGUGCUAUCACCAGAUAUGUGUAUUCACUAUUUUGGGGAUUCCAGGUAACUAAUCAGGCGCAUUUGCUUUUAAUGGCUGCUCAUCAUCAUCAUCAUCUUCUCUCUAGUGCACUGAUUGUUGUUUUCUGUUGUUUACAAUAGGAGGACAUUGUAUUUAUGUGGCUUGUUUGUUUUAAUUCACUUUCCCUCUCAUGGUUAUUUUCUUUUAAAAGAUAAUUUUCAUCCAUUUAAUCUUUUGUUCUCUUGUAAUCAUUUCCUUCACCAACUAUCUAAUUAAAUUUUUUCUACGAGUUUGUUGUAAUUGUAUAUUGGACUUAUCACUUACUAAUUUUGCAUUCCCAACAAGUGUAUCCAAAAUUUAAUUCAAGAAAAUUUUGAGAUGUAUUUUUGAAAUAUUUCAUGAGCAUUGAGGGGUUUUGCUGUAAGAAAGGUAUGUUUAAUUUAAAAGAGAUUAUGUACUUGACUUGAAAUCUGGGUGCAGAGCAAUGCAAUGCACCUAUCACUUAUAAUGGCAACUCAAAAAAAGAUGUUAGAUUGUUUGAAUACUUUGAGAAGUAUAGUAGACUGGUUGAUAAAUGUAGAAAUAUAAUAUUUGUUGUUAUCUCACAAUAGAGAUUACAAUCUAUUUAUACAUGAGAGACAGUAUCUAACAGAAAGGAAAAUCAAGCCUAUGAUUAUACAAUCCCUAAGAUUAAGCAACUGACCCAUCUAUCAAUAUUUACUUCCUAUAUUACAUAUUUACUUUCUAUAACUUAUAACAAUAAAUUAAACUCAUUUUGACGUUGCUUCUUAGUUUUACAACUUACAAGUCAGUUCAUGUCUCCUCCAACAUUUAAUGAUUGCGCAGCCUUAGAUCUUAACCUAUGUUAUUUGAAGGAAGCUCCAUAACUUGGUCUAUUUGUUGACGAAUCAAAUUGAUUAAGCAGAUUCUAGGCAUAAUUUCAGUCCUUGAAUUGACCUGUGAUGUGAUCCAUAUCCAGGGGACUUAACAAAUUGAUUGUCAUUUUGUUCGUGAAAAGAUUCAACAAAAGCCAUCUCAACGGAACACAUCAGAACUAGAGAGCAAUUAGGAGACAUUUUCACUAAAUCUCUUAAUGGAGCUCAGGUUAACUACAUCUAUAACAAGUUGAACAUAAUUAAUGUUGUGCUCUAACUUGAGGGAGAGUGUUGUGGAAAUCAAAUGUAAAUAUAGUGUACAUUCCUUUCUUGUUAGGUAGCUUGAUUCUAGGACUGCUUUAGGGCUUGAUUUUAGGAUUUAAUUAGGUUUUACAUUCCUUUUUUAGUAAGAGGACAUAUAUAUAUAUAUAUAAAUAUGUAUUAUUUUUCUAUUUGAAAAUACAUCAGAUUAUUGUCUUUUACAAGGCUAAAUAACAGGACCCAUCACACCUUGGUUGCAAGUUGGGCAUGUGUAAUAGUUGUGCACCAACUUGAGGGGGAGUGUUGACGAAUCAAAUUGAUCAAGCUGAUCCUAGGCACAACUUUAGACCUUGAAUUGAGGCAAAAUUAUAGAUCUUAAUUAUAGUGGAAUAUUUGUAUUUAUUUGUUCUCUUUUUUGUUUUCAGUUCUCUGUGUAUAAAUAGAUAUAUAAUUGUAUGUAACAAUUAAGUAAGAGAAGUUCAAUAUAGUCUUAAAAAUCUUCACUAUUUUAUGGACAUCAUGGGAAUGCUAAUGUUAAAUGUUUUUUAGAUAUAGAUUAGGUUUUAUCCAAGGUUGAUAGGGGGAUACACUAGUAGAUAUUGUGUAUUUGUUGGAGAAAAUUUGGUGUAUUGUAGAAGUAAGAAGUAGAAUAUAGUAACUCGUUAUAUUGGAGAAUCAUAAUAUAAAGUUAUGAUGCAGUUUAUAUGUUAGAUUGUAUGGAUACAUCAUUUAUUGAGUGAAGUUGAUCUUAAAACCUCACUCCCUGCUAAGUUUUGGUAUAAGAAUUAAACUGCUCUCCAUAUUGUUUCUUAUCUUAUGUUUCAUGAGUGAACUAAAUAUAUUGAGAUUGAUUAUCGCUUUGUUCGUGAAAACAUUCAACAAACGAUUAUCUCAAAGAGAUAUGUUAGAAUUGGAGAGCCAUUAGGAGACAUCUUCAGAAAGCUAUAAUUGGAGCUUGAGUUAACUUAUUUGUAACAAGUUGGUAUGAUUAAUAUCUAUGCUCCAAUUGGGGAGCAUUAUAGAAUACCGAAGUUGUAUUUGUGACAAAUAUUUAAAUUCUUGAUUAGCAUGACUACAAGGAUAAAAAUAUAGAUAUUCCACAUUAGUUAGUUUAAUCUUGGGAAUAUUUGUUUAUAAAUUUGUAUAAACUCUUAAUGAAAAGGCACAAAUUUUCUGUCCCAAUAGCACUAACUAUUAUUUUUUGCUGAUAUCAUGUGUUGUUUUUGCCUUCUGAAGCAAAUCAGUACUCUUGCUGGAAACCUAAUACCAAGUUAUUUUGUUUGGGAAGUUCUCUUCACAAUGUCCAUUGUUGGACUUGGCCUCCUGCUCUUUGCUUUUCUGAUAGGAAAUAUACAGAACUUUCUCCAGGCUCUUGUUCGGAGGUACAACUUUUUCUCAAAAUGUCAAGCAAAAAAUUCACUUGAUUUUUUUCUUUUAUGUUGAUUUCUCUUUCUUUUCUUCUAGAUUUCUAUCGCUGAACAUUCAUUUUUGGUGUACCCAUCACAUAUGAUGAUACUUGAUUUCUUUUGAGUUUUUGUUGAAAUUCAUUUGUGUAUUCCUUUCAUAUGAUAAUACAUUGAAAUUGUCCAAUUAUUCCUUAUAAUAUUGAUAAACCUUCUCAGGUUACGGAUGUUCCAGGAAUGGGAAUGACUUGACCAUUUAACUUAGUUAGCUUAUACCUAGGGGGUGAAUAACCUUUGAGACUUGAACGAUCAUUUUCAAUUCUUGCCAACUUAUUAAACCCGGCGUUGCCACCCGUCACAUCUAUUCUUUUAAGGACUAGAUCCCUGCGUUGAAGGCACGUGGUCUAACCUUACUGUUGAACAUUUGCGACAUCUUGUUUCUGUAAACUUCCAUUCUAAUUGUGGUCUUUUUCCACUGAAAUUUUGCUUGGUGCAAAUUGAAAUGCAUUUCUUUUGGAUUUUGUGAUAUCUCAGGGUAUUAUGUCCUGAAACUACCUACUUGGAUUUUUCAUUGGAAUGACUGCCUUGGCCCCGUAUACAAGAGAAAAUGGUGUUUCUUCUGUAGCUGUGGGUGGUUCUAUAUGCUCAUAGUAUGUAGGGUAACUCUUUGUGCCAGUUGCCCUUGGCCUAGUCAAGUUUUUUUUUUUAGACCCGUAGGAUAGUCCUGUUAGUCACCUCAGUCAUACAAUUGGUCUGGGGGUGAUAAGCUGAGGUAAACCUUAAGUUAAUUUCUCAUUUCUUGAAGAACUCUUUGAACCUGGAACUUGCAAACUGAGUUUUAUUAUUAGUGAUUACUAUCUUUGGUAUUUCGAAUCGAAUGAAUAUAUUUUUGCUGACGAAGAAAAUCGCUUGUUGGGUGAUGAUGGAUUGUACUGCUUCAGCCUCUGCCCACUUGAUGAAAUGAUCUACCGCAUUACACACUUUCUUGACCCAGUUACCUUAGAGAAUGGGCCAAGGAUAUCUAUCACCCACUGAAAGAAAGGCGAGGGACUUCCAAUAUCCGUUUGCAUUUCUUCCAGGGUCCUUGGAAUGUUUGCAUGUACUUGGCAUCUUUGACACCUUUGGACAAUCUGCUUCACGUCUUCCAUUAUCAUUGGCCAGUAAUAUGUCUAAAUGCUUUCCGAGUUAUUAUUCGGGCUCCUUCGUGGCUCCCACAAUCACCUUUAUGGAUAUCCCUUAAGAUUUUAUGGUCUUCCUCGGUAACAUAUCGCAGCGACCUCCUGUACAACCAACCAUUAAUUAGUGUGUAUUUAGAAGACUUCCUUAUUACCUUUUUGGCUGAUAACUCAUCAGCUGGAAGGUCAUCUUGUAUUACGAAUUUGUAUAAUGGUGUCAUCCUUGACUUCCUUAUUACCAUUGCUGGAGUGUGCAAUUCCUCGAAUUGAAAUAGUUGGGUGAGGUGCUGUUCACCCGCCGUUGCCAUUUUGGCUAGAAAAUCUGCCUCUUCAUUGUUGCUUCUAGUCACCUAGCAAUGUUCGCAGCUGUCUUGCUCACCUUUGAUCCUAUUCAUCAGGGACUGAACCUUCUCCUCAUACUUGAUAAGGUUCGAUUCUUGGACUUUGAAUUGUCCUUGGCAUUGAUUAACAAUUAAUUGUGAGUCACUAAAAAUAAUAGAUUUUAUAUACCUAAUUCCUUGUUGAUUCUUAAGGCCAUUAUUACAUCCUUGUAUUCGACUACAUUGUUAAGGCAUUAAAGGCGAGUUUGGCCACAUAUCGAAUCUUUAUUCUUGUUUGAGAUUGUAACAGGAUCCCAAUUCUUGAACCCCUGCUCCGUAAGCUCCAUCUGUCUAGACCUUCCAUUGCUCUGUGUUCUCCUCUGAGAACUCUGAAGGUUCUAACAGCGGAGUCAUCCUUGCAAUAAUGUAGGCUAGCACCUGGACUUUCAUGGCUUCUCUUGAGACAUACCUGAUAUCAUAGGCUGACAGUAUUACCGUCCAGGUGGAUAACCGCCUUGACAACUCCGGCCGGUGUAGUACCUUUCGCAAAGGCUAAUCUGUUCUGACUUCUAUAGUAUGUGACUCGAAGUAUGGUCGUAACUUUGUGGAUAGAAUUGCGAACGCUAACUUUUCAAGAGGAGGAUAGUUCAACUCUGCCCCCUUCAACACCUAGCUGGCAUAGUAUACUGUACUUUGCUCUCCAUUGUUUUCAUGAACAAGUACCGAGCAAACAAUUUAUUUUGUCAUAAACAAGUAUAGAAACAAAACUUUCCCUUUAACGGGUGGGCUUAGCAUCGGAGGGGAUGAUAAGAAGGUUUUUAGACUUUCAAAUGCCUCUGCACACUUUUCUCCCCAUUCAAACUUGCCUUUGCCUUUCAAAGCCUUGAAGAGCGGAAGACACCUUCUGGCUGAGCAUAAUAUGAAAUGACCCAAAGCACUGACCCUCCCAUUCAGCCUUUGUACCUCAUUAGUGGUUUUAGGUGCUUUCAUAUUUUGGAUGGCGCUAAUCUUCUCAGGGUUCACCUCUAUAUCUUUUUUCGAGAUUAUAUAUCCUAGGAACUUCCCAGCUUUUACUCCGAAAGUACAUUUUUCAGAGUUCAACUUCAUGCUCGCCUUGUCUAGAACGUCGAAAACUUUUCGGAUAUCUUCUAGAUGGUCUUCUAAGGAUCAACUCUUCACCAUCAUGUCAUCCAUAUACAUCUCCACUGUUGAUCCCACCAUUUGCUUAGAGAUUCCUGACACCAUCCUUUUAUACGCCGUCCCUACAUUUUUCAAUCCAAAAGACAUUACUUUGUAAUAGUAAACUCCUUCAUCUGUUAUGAACGCGAUCUUUUCUGCAUCCUCAGUAUCCAUCAUGAUUUUGUGGUAUCCUGAAAUGGCAUCAAGGAAGGAGGCCACUGCAUGCCCCGAGGUCGAGUCCACUAAUCUAUCAAUGGAUGGCAACGGGUAGUGAUAUUUUGGACAUGCUUUAUUUAUUAAGUCAGUGAAGUCAAUGCACAUCCUCUAAUUUCCAUUAGUCUUCUUUACCAGGAUCGCAUUGGCUAGCCAUGUGGGAUACUGGACUUCCUUUAUUAAUUCUGCACUUAAAAGCUUAUCAACCUCUUCUUUGAUCACCUGAUGCCUUUUUGGUGCGAACUUCCUUUUCUUUUUGUUGGAUUGGUUUGACGGUCUUAUCGAUGGAUAACUUAUGGGUGAUGAGAGCCGGGUCUACACCUGUUACAUCUUAUAAAGACCAAGCGAAAGUGGUUACUUGAUUUUUCAGCAACUCUAUUAACCGACCUUUAUUUUCCCGGUUAACACAGUGCCAAACCGCACCUUUUGCUCCUUCCCUACCUGGACCUUCUCUACCGGAUCCGCGGGUUUCAGCUUUAUGUGAGAUUCCAAUUUCUCCAGCAAAUCAAUGGGCAUGAUUGCUUUUCCAAGGCUUUUUGCAGGGUGUCCAUAAUUUUCUUUGGCUGAUCUCGGAUUGCUUCGAACCACUGCUAUUCCUUCGGGGGCUGGAAGCUUAAAACUCAUAGCACCCAUGUUAAUAACGAUAUCAGUUUAGGACUGGAUGGCCGAGUAUCAGUUGUAUGCAAAUAAAAUGUCAACCACCACUAACUCUGCAUAUAGUUCUCGUCUAUACUUUUCAUCCCUGAAUACCAGGAGAAGGUCGAUAGUAUCCAAUACUGCCACGAUCUUAUCUCCUAACUCUACCAAGAGGUAGGAGACUCUGAUAAGGCUGGUCUAUCCAAGCCUAACUUGUUGAAAAUAUUUAAGUUAAGAAGAUUAAUAGAACUACAUAUAUUAACCAGUAUCCUUCUUACCUCCCACCGAUUUAGGAGGAUUUUAAUGACCAGUGGGUCGUUUUGGAAGAAUCUAAUUUGUCUGCCAGGUCGAACCUUACCUCUUGCCUGGUCCAUGGUUUUUGAUGGACAGACAAUACAUCCUCUGCUAUCUGCUUAUUUUUCUCCUUACCCUUGUCAGGUCCUCCGAUGAUGAUAUAUACACUUCUAGCCAUUUCAAAAAACAAGUGUUAAAUUUUGGCCAGGCCUAACUCACCCCAAAAGCUAGCUCAAGGGGGAGGAGUGCCUAUGGCUCAUAUAAGGGGCACAUUGCCCCUUUCCACAAUCGAUGUGGGAUUCAACACACCCCCUCACGCUCAGAAUUUUUAUUGGUGCGUGACACAUUUAUGGGAGGCCCAACAUUGGAUGGAGAGGCUCUGAUACCAUGUUAAAUUUGAGCUAGGCCUAACUCACCCCAAAAGCUAGCUCAAGGGGGAGGAGUGCCUAUGGCUCAUAUAAGGGACACAUAAAUUGAAACAGUCCGGCCUAAACUGAAUCAAAUAACUUUUGAACCCAUUUUCCACUUAGCCCAAAAUGGUUAACCCAUGUUAUUUAGUAGUUUUGUGCUAGCUAUUAUAUACUGUUGAAUCCCACAUCGAUUGUAGAAAGGGGUAAUGUGCCCCUUAUAUGGGCCAUAGGCACUCCUCCCCCUUGAGCUAGCUUUUGGGGUGAGUUAGGCCUGGUCCAAAUUUAACAUGGUAUCAGAGCCUCCCCAUCCGAUGUUAGGCCUCCCAUAAAUGUAUCACGCACCAGUAAAAAUUCUGGGCGUGAAGGGGUGUGUUGAAUCUCACAUCGGUUGUGGAAAGGGGUAAUGUGCCCCUUAUAUGGGCCAUAGGCACUCCUCCCCCUUGAGUUAGCUUUUGGGGUGAGUUAGACCUGGCCCAAAUUUAACAUAUACAAUGCGGAAUUACCGUAUUUUGCCGAUGUGAGACGUUUUCCCACAAGCUAGCAGGUGAACGUCACUCUUCACUGCUAAAUUUGCGACGUUCUCGUCGCAGCUGAAUCAGAUACAAUUGCUAAACCAGGACCGGACCCUUGGGUAUUGUGGUUCGCUAGUACCUCGAGUGGCUCCACCUCGUCUCACACGGGUAGUCCUUUCCUCGCAGACCCACUAGCUCUGCCCAAUUUGUCUGAUCCAAAAUAGCUCUGAUACCAAGUUAAAUUUGGACCAGUCUUAACUCACCCCAAAAGCUAGCUCAAGGGGGAGGGGUCCAUGUAGCCCAUAUAAGGGGCACAUUACCCCUUUCCACAACCGAUGUGGGAUUCAACACCCCUCCUCACGCCCAGAAUUUUACUAGUGCAUGGCAUAUUUAUAGGAGGCCCAACAUCGGAUGAGGAGGCUCGGAUACCAUGUUAAGUUUGGGCUAGGCCUAACUUACCCCAAAAGCUAGUUCAAAGGGGAGGAGUGUCUAUGGCUCAUAUAAGGGGCACAUUUUCCCUUUCCAUAAUCGAUGUGGGAUUCAACAACAAGAAAGAAAAGUUCCUUCUUUAGAGAGAAAAAAGGAACAAGGGCUUGGCGUAAACCCAAAUGAACAGAAAGAAUAUAAUAGGUUUAACGGCAAUGGAACCAAAUGAUAUUGUUGUAAUUAGAUUAAUGACGUGGCCAGAAUGGAACUGAGCUGCGAUUGACUAGAACCUACAAGAGGAAAUGUGAGGCGGCGGUGGGUGCCAUGGUUUUAAAUAACGUAACGGUCGUUAUUUAUAGGUUUUCGAGCCUACUGUGGCCGUUAAGGCCUGUAAAUAACGGCAGGAAAAUUUUGUUGCCGUAACAGCCGUUAUGGCCGUUACGCAAAGGUAAUGGCCGUUAUCGGCCGUGAUGUAACGGCCAUAACGGUCGCUACUUUCUUUACCAGUAGUCGAGCACCAGCCUUUGUAUGCAUUAUUGAAGGGGAAAAAAACUGAUUUCUCUACUUCUUCUCUUUGGCCUUUUGUCUUUCUUUACUCUUUACUACUUUGUGUCUUCGCCACAACCAGCAAGCCAAGUAGUCCUCCAUUCAACACUCUCUCCCCUUCUCCAGAGUCUAGACUCCAACUCUAGGCUCCAGCGUUCUUCCAUGCUUCUUCCAUACUUAUUUCCAGUUUCCAUUUCAACUUUUCAAGCCAAAAACUGCUAUAUUUCUCUUAAACUUUUUGAUAGCAGCUUAUAUACUUAAAUUUCUACUCAAAAACCUACUCUAAAGGAUCAUUCUGGUAGUAUUACUUGAGGUAAGUAACUAUAUAUAAUGUUUAAAAUUUAUGUAUUUUAUGUUUAUUUGAUAUAUUUGCACUUAUUAUUAAGUUGUAUAACUUAAUUUUUAUUAUAUCUUUCAAUAUAUUUUAAUUUCAUGAACUUUACAAAUUUUUCCAAAAAAUUUGCGCCGCGACAAGCUGUUACCGUUACGUUAUGAUCGUUACAGGCCCGUUUCCGUUACAUGCGGCCGCGACCGCGACUGCAACCGUGAUUGCGACCGCGAUUUGAAACCAUGGUGGGUGCCCACGGCAGUCACUCUGACGCUCAAGUCAGUGUUUAGAAGAAUAGAGAGAAUGUGAUGAAUUACUUGGAGUUUGAGUAAUAUUAAAGAUAGCAUACUUUUGCUUCUAAGAUCGUUUUCCUUUUAUACUGUGAAAAGAUGGAAAUAAAUAUAGUAUUUUCUGAAAAUUUGGAGAUAAUGUGGCCGGUUGCUCGAUAACGGACAUCUCCAACUAAUUAGGUGAGUAAUUAUGUGAUUUCUGACAAAAUGGGAAUAUGCCUGACAACGGUAAUUUUGUGUCAAUAGUCGGCCUAUCUAGGGAGGGCGAGUAUUGACGAUAGUCAGGUGUUAAAGUGUUCGGUCUCCUUUUCCUGUGGUGGGAUCGCGUUUCCCACUUGUCUGAUCCUUGCCACUGAAUUACUGAAACCUGUUAUGUGGUAACAAUUCAUAGCUUACUUUUGGGCGGAUGUUAUGUAACAUCACUUAUGGUUCUAGAUUUGAAUCUAUUUUCUAAUAAAUCAAUUAGGAUCUAUAGGGUGAAUCUUAAAUAUACCUGAAUCUUAUGAUUCUUGAUUUGAAUUUUACGAUUCUCGAUUCAAUUCUAUAUUCUAGCGAUUCAAAUAUAUAGAGUAUAUGAAGUAUGACUAAAUUAAAAAAAUACGAUAGUGAAAAAGGUGAAUCAAUAUAAGUCGACCGUAUUUUCACCAAUCAAAUUAAUUUUUUAUAUUUUUUUUAUAAAAAGUUUGUUAGAUCAUAUAUUUUCAAAAUUUAAGAUCUUAUUCAUUUUUACUAUAAAAAGGUGUAUAUAAAACCUUUUCUUAGCUUUUUUUCUUCCAUCAACUAUUCUUUUCCCUCUUCCUCUUCUGUCUUUUUCUCUUAACUAAUUAUAAUUGAUACAGUGUAGCUAAUUAACACUAAUAUAUACACUUGUGAGAAAGAAAGUGUACUAGAGAAAUUUUCUGUUGUAUGCUUUAUUAAAGUGAAAAUUCAAUUCUAACUAGGAAGAUUUACAAUAAAGGCAACAAAUAAUUUAUACAAUCAAAUCUCUCUAUAAUUAAGGCUAAAAUCUCUAUAAUUCAAUUUUUUGUUGUAUCCUUUCCUUCAUUCAUGGGACGCUUUACAGCAACUUUGUCUUCUUAGACAUGUUCUUUGGUGUUUUGGUUGCGUUGAAUUUGGAUCAAGUCUAACUUACUUCAAAAAACUAGCUCAAGGAGGAGUAUCUAAGACUCUUGUAAAGAGCACAUUACCCCUAUUCUAAACUGAUGUGGGAUUCAAUACACCGGCUCACGCUCAAAACUUCACUGGGACAUGAAAUAUUUAAGGAAGGCCCGACAUCAGUGGAGAGACUCUGAUACCAUGUUAAAUUUGGAUCAGGCCUAACUCACUCCAAAGCUAAAUCAAUGAGGAAGAGUGCCUAAUACCCUUAUAAAGGGCACAUUACUCCUAUCCUGAACCGAUGUGUGAUUCAACAGGUUGUAACUAUAUCCUGAUUGGACCCACCAUAGUCAUCUGUUUCGACUCUAGCACCGGUGUUAGCUGUUUUGGAAGGAUCAAAGUUUCUUUGCAUCAUCUUGGCUUUCAAAGUGAUAUUUUUAGCCUUAGAUAAGGUUCUCAGUAUUUGAAAUCCAUUUAAUCCAUCCAAGUACCUUGCAACUUGCUGCCUUAUUCAUGGAGAUUGUUCCUCUCAAUGAACCUUAGAAAUUUUGUUGUAUAGUCAUGCACUGUUCGUUCUCCUCAUUGGCAUCUUUGAUAUUGCUAAAAAAGAAUUUGCUCAUAAUCCGGGAGCAAAAACUCUUGUUGUAGCAUGUGUUUCAUUCGGUACUAUGUUCAAAGCGGUUCUUUCCUUUUACUUUCCCUCUUAGAUUGCAAUCUCUUGUUGCCUAAUGCAAAUCUUGCUAAUUAGAAAGAUUCAGCUACUAAAUGAACAAAUCCUUUGGAUUUGAAACCUGUUAAAUUUGGGCCAGGCCUAACUCACCCCAAAAGCUAGCUCAAGGGGGAGGAGUGCCUAUGGCCCAUAUAAGGGGCACAUUACCCCUUUUCAUAACCGAUGUGGGAUUCAACACACCCUCCUCACGCCCAUAAUUUUAUUGGUGCGUGACAUAUUUAUGGGAGGCUCAACAUCGGAUGGGGAGGCUCUGAUACCAUGUUAAAUUUGGGCUAGACCUAACUCACUCCAAAAGCUAGCUCAAGGGGGAGAAGUGCGUAUGGCCCAUAUAAAGGGCACAUUACCCCUUUCCACAACCGAUGUGGGAUUCAACAAAACCGAUGAUGAAAAGAAGAAGAAGAAAGCAGAAGCUUUGAGAGAAAAUAUUUGAUUAUUCCCCUCAAGCCAAUUGGGGUAUAUAUACUACUUGCAAGAGUACAUACUAGGUAAGAAAAUAAAUUAAUUUCCUAAUUAAAGCCUAAUCAUAUCCCUAAUUAUCACUAUAAAUCUUGGCUAUUUAUAGAAAGAAUCUCAACAUUCUCCCUCAAGCUGGAGCGUACAUAUCAUAUGCUCCAAGCUUGUUAAAAAUAUACUCGAUUCGUGAACCUCGAAGAGAUUUUGUGAAAACAAUAGCUAGUUGAUUAUUUGAGUUGACAAAGCUAGUAGAAAUGUAUCCCGACUCAAUCUUUUGCCUAAUAAAAGGGCAAUCCACCUCUAUAUGCUUCGUCCUCUUGUGAAAAACUGGAUUUGAUGCAAUAUGGAGAGCAGCUUGAUUAUCACAUAUCAGCUUCAUUUGGCCAGUAUCGUUGUAUUUCAAUUCCUGAAGGAGUUGCUUCAACCAAAUGAGUUUGUAUGUUGCUAAAGCCAUAGCUCGAUAUUCUGCUUUUGCACUUGAUCUUUCAACCACAUCCUGUUUUUUACUUUUCCAGAGUAUAAGAUUCCCUCUAAUCAUAAUACAAUAUCCUGAAGUAGAUCGUCUAUCUGAAAGGGAAUCUAUCCAAUCUACAUCAGAAUAGCCAACAAUUUGUGAGUGACCUUUGUCCUCAUAGAGUAGUCCCUGUCCUGAAGCUUCUUUGAUAUAUCUAAGAAUGCAAAUGACUGCAUUCCAGUGACUACUGUAUGGGGUUUGAAGAAAUUGACUAACCACACUUACAGCAAAAGAAAUAUAUGGUCGAGUGAUAGUGAGAUAAUUGAGCUUGCCAACUAAUCUUCUGUAUCUAGCAGGAUCUUUAGGUGGCUCCCCCUGUUCAGGAACCAGUUUGACAUUUGGAUCCAUGGGAGUGUCCACAUGUCUAUAGCCUAACAUGUCUAUUUCUUCCAAAAUGUCCAAAACAUAUUUUCAUUGAGAAAUUGCAAUACCUGUUUUAGACUGUGCCACUUCAAUCCCCAAGAAGUACUUCAAUUUUCCCAGGUCUUUACUUUGAAAAUGACUAAACAAAUGUUGCUUAAGCUGAGAGAUUCUAUCAUGAUCAUUUCCUGUAAUGACAAUAUCAUCAAUAUAAAGCACAAGUAGAUGUAUCUAUCGCUGUUAUGAUGGAAAAAUACGGAAUAAUCAGAAUUACUUCGAGACAUUCCAAACUGUUGAAUUACAGUGUUGAAUCGUCCAAACCAUACUUUUGGAGACUGUUUUAGACUAUACAAGGAGCGUCGAAGACGACAUACUAAGUCUGACUCCCUCUGAGUAACAAACCCUAAAGGUUGCUCCAUAUAGACUUCUUCGGCGAGUUCACCAUGAAGAAAGGCAUUUUUAAUGUCCAGUUGAUGAAGGGUUCAGUGAUUAAUUGCAGCCAGUGAGACAAGGAGGCGAACAUAAGCUAUUUUGGCUACUGGAGAGAGAGUACCACUGUAAUCAAGGCAAAAAAUCUGUGUGUAACCUUUAGUUACAAGGCGAGCUUUAAGGCGAUCAAUUUUGCCAUCAGGUUCCACUUUAACUGUGUAAACUCAUCGACAAUCAAUAGUAGACUUUCUAGGUGGUAAUGAGACCAGUUUCUAAGUUCUAUUAUCAUCUCCUCAACCAUUGCAUUACACCAACCAGGAUGAUCCAAUGCUUCUCUAACUGUCUUGGGUAUAGAAACAGCAGACAUGGUGGAAACAAAAGUAUAAUAGAAAGGAGACAAACGAUGGUAACUCACAAAAUUAUAAAUGGGGUGAGGAUUUCGAGAAGAGCGAAUACCUUUUCGGAGAGCAAGAGGAGGAGCUGUUGCUACUGAAGGCAUGACCGAAAUAAGUGAUGAUGGAACUGGAGGUGAGUCAUUAGAAGUAACUGCAUCAGGGAGAGAAGUAUUACUGUUAGUAGCAGAUGGGUGAGGCCGAUGUGUGUAGACUUGAAGAGUUGGUGUAGGAGUGGGAGAUGGACUGACGUGAGGCCAAGGAGAGAUAAGAGUUGCAAGUAUAGGCAAAACUCUACGAAUAAAGGUUUUGUGCGUUGGAAUAGAAGAAAAGUAAGGGGAGGUUUCAAAAAUGUGAUAUCUGCAGAGACAAAAUAUCUAUUAGUAGUGAGAUCAUAGCAUUUAUAAUUAUUUUGAAACCGAGAAUAGUCGAGAAAGACACAUUUAACUGAUUUGGGGUAGAGUUUGUCUUUACCAGGAGUAUGAUCAUGAACAAAACAUAUACAUCCAAAAACUCGCAGAGACAACUGGUUAGAGGUCUAGUUAGGAAAGAGAACCGAAUGAGGACUCUAAUGUUGUAAAAUAGAGGAAGGUGAAACAAGACUAGAGAAAAGACUGUGAUUGCAGUAGAUAUGAUCAAAAGUUCCAAAGUCUAGGAUCCAUGGACCAACAGGUGAAGACUUAGUUAGACAAGCAAAGGAAUUACCGAAGUGAGCAAUGCUGGAAGAUGGAGGAUGUUGCUUAGCUGUUUGGAACUGCAAAUAUUCUUUAUAGUCUUCUCCAGUUAAAGUGAUUGAAUCUAGUUCCUAAGAUUUAUUGGUAGGUUGAGGAAGCAAGCCUUCUUCAUUAGAUUGGGCAAGAUGAGGUGCUGACUUGCCAGUAUUAUCGGGUUGAUUGGGCCGUGGUGGUCGGCCAUGUAAUGCCCAACAUGCAUCUCGUGUGUGACCUUUCUUAUCACAAUAGGAGUAAUGAAACUUCUUCCCUUUACCUUUGUGAUUUCCUCCUUAUCCUUGAUUCCCUUUCUGCACAGUCAAAACUGAGGAUUCCAUAUUUGUAGCAUCACUCUUGCUAAGGAAAAUACGUAAGAGCUUAGCUGACAUAUCUUCUAAAGUUGGAAUAACUGAAUCAGUCAAAAUUUCAUCUUUCACAGAGCAAAGGUCAGAUCGCAAUCCAAUUCAUGCCAAAAUCAUAAAGAAUUUAUCACGUUCUUCUUGCGCAUCAACAUCAUUAAUAAAAGGCAUAAGAGAAUUAAAUUCAUCUUUCAGAGUUUCUACUUGACCCAAGUAACUAGCCAUAUUCUGAUGAUUCUGUUGUAAGUGAACCAUAUCUGACACAACCUUAUCUGACACAACCUUAUUUGACGAUGACUCGUCCUGAUAUUGCGUAUUCAGUGAGUGUGGUAAGUCAGUUUAUGUCUUCUUCUACUGUUGCCCAGUGGGAUGCUUUGGGACAGAUUCUUUGUUACCUUAAAGGAGCCCAGGGCGAGGCCUAUUCUAUGAUAACCAUGGACACUCAAAUAUUGAAUGCUUUUCUGAUACUGAUUGGGCAGGCUCGAAAGUUGAUAGGAGAUCAACUACUGGGUAUUGUAUUUUUGUGGAAGGUAACUUGGUCUCAUGGAAAAGUAAGAGCAAAAUGUAGUCUCCCGUUCUAGUGCUGAAUCUGAAUAUCGAGCCAUGGCACAAGCCGUUUGUGAAAUCUUGUGGGUACGUCAACUGUUGGAAGAAGUUGAGUCCACAAAUUCGGUGCCUGCUAAGUUGUGGUGUGAUAAUCAAGCAGCUAUCCACAUUGCCUCCAAUUCAGUAUUUCACGAGAGGACUAAACACAUCGAGAUUGAUUGUCAUUUUGUUCGUGAAAAGGUCCAACAAAAGAUAAUAUCAACAGGACAUAUCUGAACUAGAGAACAAUUAGGAGAUAUUUUCACUAAAGCUCUAAAUGGGACUCGAGUUGAUUAUAUAUGUAACAAGUUGGGCAUGAUUAACAUUUAUGAUUCAACUUGAGGGGGAGUGUUAUAAGUUAUAGAAAGUAAAUAUGUUAAUAUAGGAAGUAAAUAUUGAUAGAUGGGUCAGUUGCUUAAUCUUAGGGAUUGUAUAAUCAUAGGCUUGAUUUUCCUUCCUGUUUAGAUACUGUCUCUCAUAUAUAAAUAGGUUGUAAUCUCUAUUGUGAGAUAAUAACAACAAAAUGUUAUAUUUCUACAAAACCCAUACUAGAGUCCUCAUCAAAUGCUCCAGUAUGGUCAACAUUACAUGCCUCAAGCUCGGUUCAAACAUAACUCAUACUUAAAAACUUUUACAUAAAAGGAUCAUGAUACAAGGAUUUCAAGGAAGAACCUGGGAAAAACACAAUUCUAAUCCACAAAUUAAUACAUGUCCACAGCUAUACUAUUACAACAGGCUAUACCGGCAACUCAGCCGACUUUCCGAGCUAACUCUGAUCCUGCAAGCCUGGGAUUAGGGAAAAGGGGUUAAACUACAAAAGCCUAGUGAGCAGAACAUAAAAAAGCAGUUCAAUAAAACAUAUGAUCGUAUGAAUGCGUCGCAACACAAAUAAUUCACAUCAUGAUAGACUUGUCACCAGUAACCCUCUACAGAUUUCAAUAGUGCCCGGCCCACGAUGGGUGCUCCUCAGGACUUCCUCUUAAACAUAACAUAACAUGUCCAUAGUGCCAAGAGCAUAGAAUGGGCAGUCCUGAUCUUUCCAUAUCCGUCAUAGCAUGGGCUAGUGGGUCAUCCAACGUCCAUCCACAACAACAAUAAUUUAUACAAUGCAUCAUAUUCGUCAACUCUAAUGCAAAACAACCUAAUCGUAUAUACAUGGCAUUCGUGAUGCAUGAACAUGCUUAAAAAGUUUUAUUUCUUUAAAAUAAUAGAUCAGUUCAGUUCUACUCACCUCUGGCUGACGCACGCCGAACAUUGAAGCAGUUAUCUCAAUGCAAGCCUCUAUGGUCUGCCAAGUCCGAUUCUGCACAGACGGACUUAAAUGAGGGACCAAAUAUAAGUUUUACAAUACUUAAAACAACCCCUAAGAAAUCCCUAAAAACACACAAGAAC
rnacentral:lncRNA from 1 species